rnacentral:lncRNA from 1 species
GAAGAAGUAUGUUUUUGGUUAUUUUUAUUUGAUUUGGAAGGAUAAAAAUCCUAUGCCUACAUACCCUUAAAGAAAAGGGAUCAAAACCAAUGUAGUUCACCUAAAAAGUUUCUUUUUGGUGGGUUAGGUUGAUUUUAAGAUUUUUGAAAAUGGGUUUUAAGAAGAGAAAGAGGCCUCAAGGCAUGAGAUAAAGGAAACAAGUGAGGUUGAUUGAUUUUAAAGUUUAAAAAUGGUUGAAGUUGAAUUAAGAUUGAUUGAGAAUUUGAUUAAGAAAAUAAAGAGAAAAUGUUGUUAAGAAAAUGAUUUUUGAAUUUGACAUGUUUAGGUUUUUUGAUAAAAAGGUUUUUUUUCUUAAACUAACAGUAAGCUAACGUAACGACGUACAAGAAAUAAAUGUGAAGUGUCGGUGCAUGUGUCGGUGCAUGUGUCGGUGCUUGUGUCGGUGCUUGUGUUACCUACAUUAUUACAUCAAUUCCUAAAUACAACCCUAAGGCCUUUAUGCCGAAAUAAAAUGCAAGAAAUAAAACUUACAUCAAUUUCCUAUUUAUACACACUAAGUCAAUGACAAAAUAAAAUGAUGAGAAAAUUAAAUAUGCAUGCUAUGAUUCUAAACAAAGAUUAAAUCGUUAGUAAGCAUAAGGAAAAUUGUGAUGAAUGAGACAUAAGAAGUAAUAAGCAAAAAAUUAAGAAUAGACAUGUGAAAAUAACAAGUAACAAUUAAAAUUAUCAUAUAAAGACACAAUUGAAAGCAAGUGAAGAAAUGAGCAAAAAAUUAAAAGAAACGAGUAGGAUGAAUUUUUUUGAGAAUUAGAGAAAACUAAGAUGAUAAGAACAAUAUUUUUGGAAUUUUUUUUAUUUGAAUGUUUUUGUUAUUUUGAAUGAUAUAUAAAACUAACGUAGCAAUGAAAUAAAAGUAUGAGAAUUUUGUAGUUAGAGAAUUUUGUAGUGACGUUGGAUCACCACAAAAUCUUCUUUUUUUUGUAUUUUUUUAUAACAUAAAGCAAAACAAAAAUAAAAUAAAUACCUUGAAACCGAAAGGGACAGAAAGGAGUAGAAAAAGAAGAAAGACUCGUCAACACAAGUCAAAAGAGGGAGAAGAGAAAAAAAGCACAGGAAGCAUCAACUGUGUAUUUCGGUGUGUUGAAUGCAUUGUGUGAGCCCUCUAUUUAUAGAGAAACUUCCCAACUAAUAGGUGAGAAACUUUGGGAACAAGUAAUUCAUCUAGUACAAAAAUAUGCCAAUUGUCUACCAAAAUAUAUCAUAUUGAGUACAAAAAUAUAUUAUUCAGUACAUAAAUAUGUUAUCCAGUACAUAAAUAUAUAUUAUUGAGUAUCAAAAUAUAUUUCAGAUCAAGCACUAAAAUAUAUUAGAUUGCCUACCAAAAUAUAUCAUAUUGAGUACAAAAAUAUAUUAUUCAGUACAUAAAUAUGUUAUUCAGUACAUAAAUAUAUAUUAUUGAGUAUCAAAAUAUAUUUCAGAUCAAGCACUAAAAUAUAUUAGAUUGCCUACCAAAAUAUUUUAGAUUGUGUUCCAAAAUAUUCUAGAUUGCGUUCUAAAAUAAUUUAGCAAAACUUGGGGACAAGAAAGCACUUUUUAAUAAUGACCAAAUUAAUUAUUUAAUUUAUCAUUUGCAAAUAAAAAUUUUCUAGUGCUUACUUCGUUCACACAAUUAUGUACCCCCAUUAUAUAAUCUUAGGUCAAAAAUUGGGGUAUCUCUGCCGAAAUUUCGUCUAAAACGACGGACAUUUCCGGUUUUAAAAGUACGAACGAAAUGUGUAAAAAUAGAGAAAAGUGGUCAAAAUUUGGGGUAUGACACUAUCCACACCUCUAUUUUGGUUACUAUUCUUGUUGUACCUUCCCCACCUUUCUAUUCACACAUCUCUCUGCUUAAAUCAUUAAAACACUACUUAGCUCCCUAACUACACCUCUUUUCUACCUAAUUUUACUAAUCCAUCUCUGUUCGCAAUCUACUUUCUUAUUCUUUCUAAAAACUAUAUUUUCUUCCUAAAUAUUAUUAUCUCCUUACCUAUUCUCCCAAUGAAUUUGAAGAAUUAAAUUAAUACUAUCUAACAACCAAUACUAAUAAUAAAAAUAAUACUAAUGUUGUCUAAUAUUAAUAUUAAUAAAUUAAUAUUAAAAAUCGAGAUGUUACAGAAGUUGCAACAAAACUACGAUUUCUAUCACAUGUCAAGUGUGCAUAGUCAUGCGCCUACAUGGCAUGACCCGUGCGCAUAUUUCUGCCAUUUUGUGUGUUUUUUAGGGGGGGCACGAUCAUGCUCCCUUCCCUAGACUUAGAAAAACCUAUUUUUAUCCCUCAAUUGAGUUCCUAAGGUGUAGGAUAGGAUCUCGAAGCAACAUAUCAAAGGAAAGUAAAUUUAGGUGUCCUAAGAGUGAUUUCUUAAAACAACGGUGAGUUCAUAACAACGAAGUAGUUCAAGGAGUACAAGACGAUUAUAAGAUGAGAGAUGGGGUGAUGACUUAAAAUAGUUGAUGAUGAUAAAGGUGGAUUCCUUAUAAUAGUAAUGAGUCUAAGAUAGAAGUAGAUAGAAGAGUGUAUGACCAAAAGGAACAAUUAAAUUGGGGAAGUGGUUUAAGAUGAAUGAAGAUAUUAGGUGAAGAGAUAAGACCAGCGUAAUUGAAAAUAGGAAGGUGUAAGUUAAAGUGAGGUUAAUGCUAGAGAUAAUGAUAAUGGUGAGGUAAAGACUUUAGGUUAAAGAGAAGGAGGUGAUCCCUAUGAGAGGGUGGUAUUUCCAAGUGUUACUUUAAUCACUUAUACUGCAAACAAUUUUACUAAUACGGAAAGUAUUGCUAACCUUAAUCACCAGUUUGGAUUUAUUUGCUUUUUAAAAUAAUAAUGGAUAGCACUAUAUUAUUUUCAUGAGUUGUGGAUCGGAUUUUUUGAAGUUUGAAUUAGUGAAUUCAAUUGCUACCGAUGAUCUUAGGCUUUAAAAUUAAAUUGAAAUUGAUUCACAAAUAUUUGGUAUCUAUGAACUAAGAGUUAGUUGUUAAAAUCACGCACUAAAUCAAAUAUGACAUGCGUGUCGUGUCAAUUUACGGGAUAUUAAAUGAUAUGUAAUUGAUGAAUUAUUUAACGAUGUGUAAAUAAUGAGAUAUUUGACGCUGUGUUAUCUAAUGAUUUAUUUAAAGAUGUGUAGUGUCGAGUCUGAAAAUUAUGUGUAUUGUUAAUGUGGCUAUUUGACAUUCAUGCAUUCAUGGUCGAGUCUAUUUAAUGAAGUGAUUUAACGAUGGGAGGAUAAAUCAAUAACAUACAUGUGAUAUCCAAAAUAUUUAACGAUGAGUAAGUUUGCUACCACAUGCAUGUAUGGUCGAGUCUAGGAGCAUUGCACACAUAACGGUGUUCCUUUGAUAAGAUGUGAAUUUCAUGAAUGAUAAUUGCUUUUGUGCAAUGUUCAUCUUAUGAUAUAUAUAUAUAUAUAUAUAUAUAAUUGAUGAUUUUUUUUGUGUGUGUUUAAUCUCUGAGUCUAUUCAUUAUGUUUAUGCAAUCUUCUUAUUUUGGAUAUAUCAUCACCCCAAUUACGGAUUGGGCGUAUGUACCCUUGUUUGGUAAAGAUAUUCAGGACGAAGAACUUUAGACGCUGCGAGCUUGAAGUACGACGAGGAGUCUUUCUCGUCAAUCCUUUUUUUAUUAGGAGUUUAUUUUGGGUCAAUGCUGUGAUUCUGCAACACUAGGGAAUUGAGGUUUUUCUUUUAUUUUUGUUUUGGAAUUCAUAUUUGAAUUCAACUUAUUUGUUAAGAUAAUGUGACGUUGUUUUGAACUUAUUUCCACCGAACUGUUUUUAAUUAAUUUGAAGUACUUUUUGAAUGAUGGGAAUGUGUGACAUCAUUUUGUGUUGAAUUAUUAUUUGUAUUUUAAUUUAUAAAAUAAUUGUUGCGAAUAGAGUGUUACAUUGUGUUGUAAAUUAUUCUCAAAUAAAAAUUAACAUAUACAUAUAAACAUCAAUUGAAUAUAAGCAAAAGAGAAGGAUCGAUAAACUUAUAUGUUCUUAAUAAUUUUAGAUAGCUAGAGUACUGACAUAACUCUGUCAAUGUCCUUCACCAACAACUCAUAUGUAACCUGCAAAAUAAUAAAUAGUUAUAUAAUAUGAGGCGUGACAAAGUCGCUAUCUUUAAGGAUUUAUCCGUCUCAUAAGUGUAUAUCCUCCUAGGAUACAACAUGUUCUUCUCUAAUAUAAAUCAUAUCAAUCAUAUCAGAGAUGAUAGAACAACUUGAAUUUUCUAAACACAAGAGAUAUAACCCAGGAAAAAUAUUGAAAGAGAAGAAAAAUAUUCUAUUGUGGGCACUAUUUAUUUUGAUUAGAAUGAAGGAAGUGAAUUUUGAUGUCAAAAAUAUGUUCUGAUAAUAGGAUGGAUAUAUUGUAUGAGUAAUUUUGUAUAGAAGUAUUGAAGAAGUUUGUCACGUAUCUAACUUGUCUGACUGCAAAGCAUUUAUAGCCAAUACUGUUUUAUUUUAAGAGAAAAAUAAGGAACACUCAGUGAUGGUAGUUCCUAAUUUUAAGUUACAAAGGAAUAACCAUAGUGUAAUAUAUUACACCUCAUGCAUAAAUAUUUGACCAAGUAAGCAAGUAAACAUGUGAAACAUAUUUUUGAUGAGCUAAAUUUUAAUUAACUUUUGAAAUAAAAUAAAACUCUAAAAUUACACACAUUGUAUUAUAAAAGAACAACCAAAUGUUAGUGUCAAGGGUCCGAAAAUGGUCACAGUGAAUUAAGAGGCCAAGUUCUAGCUAGGGUUAGAAGCUUUAGAGUUCUCACUCCAUCUCAUAUUCUGAAUAGAUGAGUUAGGGUUACUUGGUGAUGGUUUUAGCUGACCACUUUCUUUCAAGAAUUGUAAUAUUGUACUAGCUAUAUUUAUCUAUUAAUUUAACUUUUCAUGUUUUCAUUUAUGUUUUAUUUCAUCUCCAUCUUCUUGGUUCUGCUCACCAUGAGCUAAACCCCUUCUUGUGGUUUAGACAUGGUGAGAUUAUGAUACUCUUUGCUUAGGAUUCAUAAAGCUAUAGUUUCGCGCUUCUUUCAAGCAAACUGAUUUAACUCAAUCUUUGAAAGUAAAACUUGAUCUCUUCUUCUUUCAAUGUUAUAGUUCCCUAAGUCCGAAAGGGUAUAAGAAUGGAACAUGCUUGUUUGAUAUGAGUUAGUCCAUAUGCAUUGAUGGGUAAAUGGAUCAAGAGAGACUAAUUUGCACGAGUACUAGAUUUCGGAAGAGUCUGGAAGCGCUGAGAUCUUACACUUGAGUGGGAAAUGUUGAUGACCUAAUCUAGCAACGUUACAUGUUAAGAUUAUGUGAUUGUACUCCGACCGGUAGUCUUCACAUGUUUAACGUGAAGGCUGAGUGCACAACACUCCCAGCGGCCACCAGGUUGCCAGGAAACCAUAGAAAGUUAUAGCUUUGUAGAUCGUAGUAAAACUUUGUCAUAACUGAAGCUUUGUUUAAACCACACUUUUAACUUUGAGAAUUUCUAAAUCUUUUUAAUUGUUUUCCCAAACCUUUGACUUUUAUUUUAUUGUUGUGACAAAUGAUUUACUUUAUUUUCUUGGAAACAAGUUUAUUACUGGAAAGGUAUAAAGAGUUAUAGCUCCCCAGUUCAUGUGGGAUCAAUAUCUUUUUAUACUGUAACUUGGACAAUGUAUACUUAAACUAAGUCUUUCCAUCUUAAAAUACUCAUAGUGUUUUGGGAGACACCACAUCUCAUCUUAUGUUAUUCUAAGCAUAUUUUUCAGGUUUUAGAAUAAUUGUCUAUGAUUCACAAGAUAUUUUGCAAUGUUUUCAUUUCGAGACAUGCAAUUCUGGUUUUCCCGAAACCAAAUAAUUAUUAGGCGAUUUUAAUGUAAUUCACUGCAAAAUCAUGCAAAUCAGCAAAUCAAAGCAUCUUAUGGGGACUUGGGAGGACAGGUUGAGAAAUUACAAAGUGGAGAAAUUCUGUUACAAGUUUCAAGGAAGAAAACACUCAAAAAGACUAAGAAAAAUGGAAGAAAUUCUCAAAUCCAACAAUUGAGCAACCUUCUCUUAAACCAUGUGUUAUACCCUGAUUUUGGACCUAAAAAUACUCAUUCAAACUUCUUUUCUAACAACCAAUAUUUGUCAAUUCUCUGUUAUUUUACUCUGAAUCUUUACUUUCCUUUUAAAACAUAUUUUACUGCCUCUGUCUAUCUUUUCUUGCAUUUUAUUUCAAAAAUCAUACAAAAGGGUAUUUUGGUCAUUUCCUGCAGUGGAACCCAUUUUUGUCCCUGUGUUUGCCUCUGAGUCUUUUUAAUUUGUCUGUACAAAUCAUUGUUGAGUCUUUAUUUAAAAAAUCAUUUCAAAAAUUGCAUCUGAGUCAAUUCGAGUCAGUUUAGUCCCUAGGGGCAUUUUGGUCUUUUCCUGUCAAAAUUUCGGCAGGGAGGUAUUUUAAAAUACCUCAUGUCAGUAAUUGGUUCGUUUUAGUCCUUUUGUUGAUUUUAUUUUUGGUUUCACUUUACGUUUUUUUUUCAAAUUACCAAUUUUAGUCCAAUUUUAUUUUUAAUUUCAUUUUAGUCCCUGAACAGUUUCUAAAUUGCAUUUUAGUCCAAAAUUCUUAAAAUUACUUUUCAGUCCUUUUUUUUUUUAUUGCAGUUUAGUCCUUCAAUUUUUCUUUUUUGCAGAAAGGUCCAAGUCCAGAUGGCAGCGCCUCAUUGGUCCAAAAUCACACUUGGCAGCCUAUAAAAGACGCAUUUACUGUACAAGCCAGAGGAUCCAUUCAUUCCACGCCACCUCAACAAACACUUUCCAACUUUCUCUUUCUGAUCAAAAAGAUCAAAACUCAACAAUUUUCCAAAAAAUCACGAUGAACACUCAAGAACAUUCAUCAUCUUCCAAACCCUAACCGUUUCCAAAUUCCACCAGAAUCAACACAAAUCAUCACAAACCAUCACAAAUCAACACGAAUACCAAAAAUCAGUGCAAAAAUCAACAAAGAAUCAACAAGAUCUCUCGCGAUUCUCAGAGAUCCAAUACGGAAUCAUCAUCACCGAAUCAGCCUCUUCGCAAUACAAGUGCGAAUCCAUCACCAUUAGGUUGACGGACUCAAGCACGAUCACGAAGAAGACGCGAAAAGAGAGAAGAGAAGGAGGGUAAAGAAACCGAAUCGGAACCGUGAAACACGCAGAGCGCGCGCAACUCCAGACCGUAAAACAGAGGCAUCAACGGCGAAGAGGUAAUCCUUCGCUUUCUUCACUUUUCCUUUCCUUUUCGUUUCCAAAGAUUUCGCAAGGUUCAAAUUUAGAUCUACUCCGUUUGGAACUUUAUUUUAAAAAUCUAAGCUCAGAUUCGAGAAGUAGACAAAAAAGGAUAUCUUAAAACAUAAAAAAAUUUUGAAAACGGAGAAGUUCGUCCAACUCCGGCGGCGGCACCGCCGCCCUUGGGCGGCCGGCCACCACGCCGGAGGAAUGAACCUCACCGGGGAAGAUGAAGAUCUUCCCCAUUUUUUCCAGAAUCCGGCGAGGUAGAGAAGAGAGAAGUGAGAGCUUCUCUCACUAGGAGAGUUAGAGAGAGAGAGAGAGGAGAAAGGAAUGAAUUGGACCGGUGUCCAUAUGUUUAUAUAGACACCUGAACCGGUCCGGUUCAUUUUGCUUUCAUCCUGGACCGUUAGAUCUAGGGUUUUGUUGAUUGAAUGGCUGUGAUGCUUUGUUUCCAUAUGCUUGAUCCGUGUUACCAUGCGCUGCGUGUUUUGAACCGUCAGAUCUAGGUCUGGAUCAAUCCAACGCCUCUGAGGCCUUUGGAUGAUCCAGGACCAGUCUGCAUUGGGCUUUGGGUUGGGCUUAAGGUUCCUUUGCGUUUUUGCUAUUUUUUUUGUGCUAUUCACACCGUUUUUCUUGCUAUUUGAACCAGUGCUUUAAUCAAAAAUCUUGAUAAAAUUUCUAAAAAAUUCAUGCUUGCUUUUUGACGUUUUCUUGAUGUUUUUAUGACAUUUUUGCAUAUUGAGGUUGAUAAAAUCUUGUAUGAUUGAUUCAUAGCAUUUUAAUUCUUUUUGGAUUAUUCCUUAUGAAUUUUUUUGUCAUAUCUUUGUCCUUGAUUUGUGGAUAUGUGAUAAAAGCCUUUUGAUGUGUUGAUAUGAGAUAGUUAUGCCUAUAAUCACAUGCUGAUCUUGCUGUUUUGGAUUGAUUCAUGAAACCUUGAUUUUGUGAACAAUAUAUGUGUAUUUUGGGAAAUGAAAAGCUAAGCCUAUUUUUAAAAGGGGUUGGUAUGAAAUCAUGCAUGAAUGCUUCCAAUAAUUCCAUGUUGUAGCUUGAGAUAAAGAAAACCAUUUCAAAAUUUACCAUGGCAUGAGAAUUAGAGGCCACAAAUGCUUUAAGUUUCAUACCAAAAUUCUUAGGGUUUGUUAUCAUUUUAUUACUAUCUUUGUGUCAUUUUAUAUGCUUUUGUCUCUUGUUACUUUUUAUGCUUUAUUUCACUAACAAGUUUAUCUCCAUAUUUCAUGCAUCUCAUUAAGCAUUGCAUUCCUAUUUCAAUUUUACAUAGUUUAGUUUUUUUUGUAUUCUUUUAUUUUCAUUUGGGAAAUGUAAUAUUUAGGUAGGUUUUAUUUCUUUUAAAUUUCUUACAAAGACCGUAGAAUGUAACUAGGACAAUGUAAAGGACUAUGGACACUAUAAGGGAUGUACACCGACACAAGCACCGAUACGCACACACGUUGCAUGAUUACCGUUUAGAUGUAUGUUUAGGAAACGCGAUCUUUAGACAAAUGCCAAUAUUCCAAAAAAAUAAUAAACUAAUUCCAUCACUCAAAUUUUUCCAAACAAACCUUGGAGUCAAAACUCCAUUGAAUAUAUUCCUUUAUUUUCUUAAACAAAUCCAAAUGAAUCCUAAUUCCUACUUAGACUUUUUUAAUAAACAAUUGAACCAACACUCACCAUUUCUUUCUCUUAUGCCUUUAAGGCCUCUUUCUUUUCUCCAAAACCAUUUUCCAACAAAAAUUAAAAUCAAUCAAACACAUGAAAACAAUUUUCGAGAACGAACUACGUUUGGUUUUGAUCCCUUAAAAGGGUACGUAGGCAAUGAGUAAAAACUCCUCCAAGCCAAAUAAAAAUAAGAUCUCAAUCAUCUUCUCUCCCCCAUUCUUCACUCAAAUAAAACANNNNNNNNNNNNNNNNNNNNNNNNNNNNNNNNNNNNNNNNNNNNNNNNNNNNNNNNNNNNNNNNNNNNNNNNNNNNNNNNNNNNNNNNNNNNNNNNNNNNUAUAUAUAUAUAAUACUUCUACACCAAAUAACAAAUAUAUUUCUACAUUAGAUAAUAUAAUAUAAUAUAACAUAAUAUAUUUCUACACCAAAUAACAUAUAUAUUAUACUAACAAAUAACAUAAUAUCUCUACACCAAAUAAUAUAUAUUAUAAUAUAAUAUGCUACUAAAACACCAAUCUAUAACACAAAAAUAACACCCAUCAUCAUAAAUCAAAUAAAUUAUUCAAAAGACUCUAAACUCAAUAAAAUAAUAAAAUAAAACAAAUAAUUCAAAGAGGACGUUACAUGGACGAUGGAGAUGAAGUUAUGACACACUCCCGUGUGGUAAUGCGCACAGGGCUUCGCGUGCUCCUUCAUCAUCUCUUGUCUUGUUUCUCUUGGGUUUUGACUUAUUGGACUUCUAACUUUCUAGAACAAUAUCCUUAUUUAUUUGUCCUCUAAUGGUAACUUUGUACCAUUUUUAUUUUAUGAAUGAACUUUGAGACACCAAUGAAUGAGAAUCUAAUUUUGUAUUCUUGUGCUAUGCUAAAAACCAUUGCAAGAAUUUUUCACAUAUAGAGGCGAUCCUCAACAAGUUGAUUAGCAAGAAUAUAUGUGAUUUUCUAUUUAUCAUGGAUUGAGCUUAUAAAUUUGAGGUUUAAACCUAUUUAGGGCUUGCAACAUCUUUUUUUUUUUUUACCCUUUUACGUUUUGACCAAAGGUAAUACAAAAAAGUUUAAUUGAACCUUUAGUCCCCUAACUUAUUUGGUUUUUUCAUUUUGGUCCCAUAACUUUGAAAAUUUCCUUUUUGGUCCUUCAAAUUUGCUCCGUCAGUCAAUUUGAUCCACGUCAGUUAACUUUAAUUCCAAAUGUAUUAGGUGGACCAACAAUGUAGGUGGUCCAUCGUAGACCUUAUUAAUUUUUUAAUUUCAGCCGUUUGAUCUUUUUUUCAAAAAGGGGACAACUAGAUUAUAGAGGUCUAUUGUAUCUAACGGCGCAUCACCUACAACUAAUUGUUUUUGGUUUUCUUCUUCUUCUUCUUCCCACAUCUUCUUCUUAAUCAUCAUAUUAUCUUCAUCUAUCUUCAUAAAAACAAACACAGAAAAUUCCAGAAUCACAAAAACUUAAUUCGUUCUGCUUCUUUCUUUCCAAUCACCUUGACAUUAUGUUCACUCUCUAAUUAAACCCAUCUUCUUAAUAUUUGAAAGGCUUAAAUGCUCUUUUGACCCCUUAAGUAUUUAGUUGGUAUUGCUUUGGUCCCUUAACUAAAAAAAAGAUUGUUUGAGUACUUUAAGUUUUUUUUUAGUCUCGUUUUGGUCCCUUCUGUUAAGUUUUAAAAAAAAAAAGUUAACUCCUAGACACAUGUCAUUGACUCUGAGAUUUUUUUAUUUUUUUUAUAAAAUAUAUAUAUUUUUUAAAAAAAAAUCCCAAAGCCAAUGACAAAGUGAGACACACGUGUCACUUUGUCAUUUGUUCUAGGAAUUUUAAAAAAAAUAUAUAUAUGGGAGGUGUACAUGAGGUACCACUAUUACUAACGGAGGUGUACAUGAAGGACCAAACAGAAAAGUUUUAGAGUUAUGGGAUCAAAUUAAAAAUGACAAAUAAGUUGAAGACUAAAAGUUCAAUUAAACCUACAAAAAAAUGUUAAUGUUUAUAGACCCAAUCCAACAAAAGAAAGUGAUACUUUUAAGAAGUAAAUUUGUAAGAGAUUUACCCAAUCCAACAAAGCAACCAAUAAUUGGCAUUUUUGCUUUGUUUAUUUACAAUUCUGAUCGAGAAUUAACAAGAGAUGUUGAUACCUCAACCAUCGAAUUCGAAUCCUUUUUUAUUACAAUUACAAACAUCCUAUUCAACACUUCCGUUACAACAGUACGGAAAUUCCCGUUUAUUUGAGAUAUCCAAACCAAACAAAACCGUAGCGUAACAACGUUGUUUUCUUACUUACUUCAAAUGCCAGAGAAGAACCAACACAGAACAAAAAUAAUAAGCACAUUAUAAAACACAGACUUCACUCUUUUUCCACUCUCUUUCUUUCCCUCCUUCAUUCUCCCCCAACAACUUACACAGUUAACUCCGGUUUUUGGGUUUUCGGAGUUUUCUCAAACCGGUUCAUUUCGGUUUGGUUCAGUUAAACGAUGGAACAAACCACGUUCGAGUCGAUUCAAUUCAAUGAAGAAAUUCAAGGAAUCAUGGCUCCGGCGACGGAAACAGCGAACUCUUUCACCGCACUUCUUGAACUUCCACCGACGCAGGUCGUUGAGCUUCUUCACUCGUCGGAGAUUACCGGAAAACCACCGAAACCCUAUCCACUGACUUGCAACACCGGUAAUUUAACUUUCCCUUCCAACGCCGCGUUGGUUGAACGCGCCGCUAGAUUCUCCGUUUUCGCCGGAGAAAAUUCCACAAACUCGCCGAACUUGCCGCAGGUGAAGGAUGAGCUACCGGAGACUGAAGAAGGUGGAUGUGUCUCUGAUCCAACAGUUGAAAACACGAAUUUCAAGAGUGCGAAGAGGAAGGAACGAGAGAAGAAGGUUCGUCAAUUAUCAUCCACGAAUUCAAUUGAAAAAUUAGGGUUUUCUGAAUUUCUCACUAAUUUGAGGGAAUUCUCAUGUUCUGUGAAACGCAGGUGAAAUUGUCGUCUAAGAAGAGUAAGAGUAUCGCCGCCGACGAGAAUUCCGGCAACGGCGAGGAGCUUCCGUACGUUCACGUUCGAGUUCGACGAGGUCAAGCUACUGAUAGCCAUAGCUUAGCAGAAAGGGUAAACUCUUUAAUUAAUCACUAAUUCACUUCUUUAAUCACAUUUAUUUAUCAUAAAGUUUUCUUUAUUUUUUAAAAGUUUAAUUUAUACAUGCAGAUGAAAGUUUUGCACAUUUAUCCAAUAAUCCAAUGGGUUUAAUUGCGGUGGGUUGGCGGUACAAAACAAUUUUGCGCAUAUGGCCGAUUAAAAUAUUUUAAAUUGUCACGUCAAUUAAAAACAGAACAAUAAUUUAAUUGAUAUGACAAUUUAAAAUGUUUUGAUUGGUCGUUUGUGCAAAAUUGUUUUAGACUAUCAUAUUAUUACAUUAAUUAACAAGUUAUAAAAAGUUAUGAAUUUAAUGGUAGUGGGUUGACGGUCUAGAACCACUGUAUCGAUUAAUAUUUUUAAAUUUACUUAACAAAAAUAUUUUAAUUGGUUAUGCGUGUAAAAUUGUUUUGCACACACGACCAAUCAAAACAUUUUAAAUUGUCACAUCAAUUAUAUCAUAUAUCAUCGGAUACAUAUAUGUAUGUGUAAAACUUUUGCACAUGAGUGUAUAUAAAUUACACUCGCUCAUUUUUUAAUUAAAAAAUUAGUAAUAUUUUUUCAUUUUAAUUUGAUUGUGUUGUAGGCUAGGAGAGAGAAGAUAAAUGCUCGAAUGAAACUGUUGCAAGAGCUGGUCCCGGGUUGCAACAAGGUUUGGUCCUUUUCUUUCCUUUUUAAGAUGUUAAUCUUCAUUUACUAUAAUUAAUUAAUUGUGUACUUUAUUUAAUAAUCAUGAUUAUGCCAUGAUUUAGUCUAAAUUGUCUCCUAAAAGUACUAUUGUGUCUUUGGAGUAUGCCAUGUCAUUAUCACCUUUUCACCAAAAAUUAAAGUACAUGCUUUUCCACCAAGAAAAGUGCUCUCCAGCACCCACUGUAACAUGGGCAUUUUUGUAAUUUUCUGCCUCACAUCACACACUUUUUUUACACACUUCUGUGCUUAAACUAUUAAAUAAACCACAAAGUUUUUUAGAUAUAUGUGAAAAUUAUCAAAGAAAUUAUACAUAAGAAAGGAAAUAGUAUUGGUUACCUCUUACAAAGUUACCAGUUAGUGGCUAAUACACCCAAAAGUACUUUUAUUUACCAAUCCUACAAUCCUCCUAAACAGAUUUUAUUCCUCUAACAUUUUUCUCUAAAAGUGGAAGAUGCUCAAAACAUUUACAAAAAUUGAUAUCAAGAUAAAAACAUUUCAUAAAAGUAAGUAAUAUAGUAAUUCUUUUUUGCUAUAGCCAUAAAUUAAUCCCUUGUUUUAUGAAAAAGGACAGAGAAAAAUAUACGUCAUGGUUUGUAGUACAGGAUAAUUAAGGUAAUCCCCUCUUGUUCCUUUCUUUAGCUUUCUGACUUAUUGGAGAGACAGAGAGGUGGGUGUGGGCGUGUGGGGUGUGAAAAGGAAUUAUUCUAGCUGGACUCUGGCUUUAACAAUUGGAAGUGUGUUGAUACAUGUAUUCAUGGGUCCCCUAAGGAAGUGAAAUACUAAUCCAUCUUUGGGAAGGUGAUGGUUACCAUCAACACUUUGUUUGGUAUCCAUCAAUCAUUUAUGGGAUAAUGAAUAUAGGGUGGGAAAAGAAACCAUAACUUUUAGAAGGCAAUAUCUACCAAACAAUAAACCUAACUGGGUUUCAGCAUUUAAACAUUUUACAUAUUUUAAUUAAUUUUGCCUAAACUUUAGUUAUAUAUACACCUCAAUAAUUAUUUCCUAAAUUUAAAGUUUAUGCUACAUUUUUUUUUCUUCUUUGGUGGUCUCAGGGUUAUUACAAUAAUUUUAUUUUCAAGUAAGGCUUUUGAGUAUUUGGAUAGAUUGUAGUUGUGUGUAUUGGUUUGUGGGGCUCUCCACACAUACACUUCACCUGUUAAUAAAUCAUGCUUGAUUUGAUUGCUCUCCCAAAACUUUGCAAUCUAAAUGACUUUCCAGCAUCAUUUGUUGUUGUAUCUUCAAAACUGAAAUUUGAGUUUUGUUUUAGCUUUUGAUAAAUAUAGUGGUCAAUUGUCAAUAUCAGGAUGCAAUCAUGUAAAUAAUGAAAAUUGGGGGAUGUUACCAAUACGGGUAAAAUAAUCUGGUUGAAAGCCAUUAUAAGUAUGUUCGAGCAUGAUUUGAUUCAAAGCUAUCUUAGACUUUUCUAUGUUAAAUUAAGAAACCUUAAACACAGCCCUUCUUUGUGAGUUUUGUUUUAGCUUUUGAUAAAUAUAGUUUAUCAAUUGUCAAUAUCAGGAUGCAAUCAUGUAAAUAAUGAAAAUUGGGGGAUGUUACCAAUACGGGUAAAAUAAUCUGAUUGAAAGCCAUUAUAAGUAUGUUCGACCACAAUUUGAUUCAAAGCUAUUAUAGACUUUUCUAUGUUAAAUUAAGAAACCUUAAACACGGCGCUUCUUUAGAUUGUAUUUAUAUAUAUUUUUCUAACAAAAGAGCUAAUCUAGUAAGUCAAGGAUAGAUGACAUGAUAAAAUUUGCUUUACAGAUAUCAGGAACAGCAUUGGUUUUGGAUAAAAUCAUCAACCAUGUGCAAUCUCUACAGCAUGAAGUGGAGGUCAGAUUUUAUAUAACUGACAUUCUAGGCAAUUGUUUAGACAAAAGAAUAUAAGCAUGAAGUUGUUUGCAGCAAUCUGAUUUCUGUUUAUAUCAUCAACCUGUAGAUAGUGCUUAAGAACUUUAAAAAUUAGUGGCUUUCUUCCCCGUAUUUAUCUGAUCCUUCAAAAGUGUUCAGGAACAUUUUGCACUCAUGGAAACAAAUAAAACAGUUCUUACUUUAAAAAGUGCAAAUUCUAUAUGACAUUAUAAACUGCAAAUUUUUCUACAAAAGUGGCUUUGACUCCGAUCUUCACAUUGCCUAAUUUAGACUUCAGGCUUGAAAUUUCAUGCCUCUAAACUUCUGCAUUGUUUGGUUGUUCGUAUCCUUGAAAGUUAUAAAAUAAUAUAAAUGGUAUUUGCACUGUGAAGAUAUCUAAAACAAAAUUGAAAAUAUUUUAUAGGAUCUUUCUGUUGGAACACAUUGCAGGAACAUUUGAGUUACUUCAUAAUGUGAUAUUGAUCUCAUCGAUUUCUCUGCUUUGCAGAUUUUAUCAAUGAAACUGGCAGCAGUUAACCCAAUAAUUGAUUUCAACCUUGACAGCAUAUUAGCUGCAGAAGUAAGUAUUAUUUUUCCUCUUUUAUUGAAAAAAGGAAUUUAUUUAUUUGUCUUUGCCUUGGGGAGUAAUCUGAACUACAUGUACUUUUCUGGCUUGGCUCUAAAAAUAUUUGAGGAACAACACAUGUCAUCACCUUCUUGACAUUUUAAUUUUUAGUUCUAAUUUAUCGGGGCCUAUCUACACUUGUGCGGUAUGAGUAGUCCUGAUUUAGUUGUAUUAGACUACUUUCUGAAAUUCUUCUUAGUUUCCACAGUGGUUAGAGAUUUAUUCAUCAAAUUUGUUUUUACUUGGCCAUAUAAUUGAGUUUAACUAUUGUAUACUUUCAUGCUCUAACACUGAAAUGAUGAACAUGAAAAUGGGGAGAGAGAGAGAUGGCUUAUAGUCACCGUCAUUCAUUCCGCUCUGUAGGCUGUCAUGAAAGACAAACUAAGAACAAUGUAAAUACUUUUUUUUUUAGGGAAACAACGUAAUACUUAACAGGAAUCAACAAUAUGAAAACAUAAAUGCUUGCACUUGAUUGCUUAGAUCAUCCUAACUAGUAGUUAUAAAUGGACGCUCUUGUGUAAUCUCCAUCUUUUUUACUUUUUAGUUACCAAGGUCUGGGGCUGGUAUAUGGAAUAGAAAAGGGUGUUUAGAUGUGUUCAGUUUGGAGCUGGAAUGCGAUGUGUAUGAUUUUGUGGAUGAACAAAUAAAGCCUAUUCAACCUUCUCCAAUGAAUUUCAGAUAUUAUUUUGAUUUCCUUCUGCUAAUAAAAAUUCAUUGUGACUUGUAGGGAAUGUCUCUCAUGGACAGUAACUUCCCUAACACAGUUUCACCCGCUGUGUGGCCAGAAAUCCCACACAAUGGAAACAGACAGCAAUUUCAGCAAUCGUGGCAAUCUGAUGCAUUCCACCAACCACUUUGGGGGAGAGAAGAAAACAACCCUAAUUUCAUAACCCCAGAAAACUCACUUCUAAGUUAUGACUCAUCGGCAAAUUCAGGUAGAUUAGAGUUAAUCUUCUAUUUGUCUGAUUUAAUCACAUCAUGGUUGGUAUUUCCUUUGGCAUCGCGCUUUCAUAAGACAAGGAUUGGAGUGUGGUGUGAGGGAUAAACAAAUUGAAAGGCAUAAAGAAAUCCGAGAGACAUGCUAAUAAAUAAUUGGCAUUCAAUCAACUUAACUUAUUGUUGAAAGUUUUAAAAUUGAUUGAAAGGGAUUAUUUCAUUCAAAAGUACAAUGUUAUUAAUAUGUCCUUAAAUUAAGGAGCUGAUGAAUCUGAAUUUAACAACUCUAAUAAUUUGCAUACAGUAUCUCUGCACUCAAAUCAGAUGAAAAUGGAGCUAUGAAGGGGUACAGAAGCAGUGGUAAUAGUAGCAAUUAGUCUAGUAGUGUAUAUAACAAAUAUAGUUUUAGAAAUUAGCCUUGAUUUGAGCAGGCACAACAUUCAGCAGGAUCUCAUUGUCCUCUGUUAGUCAGAGUCGUCGGUUGGAAAACCUGGAUUUUAUUCAGCCAACAGGGUAGCAAGGAAGAAGAAUUCGUAUGAUAUUUAUUAUAUAUUAAUUAAUAUCAGUAUGUAUACUAACUAUAGGGGUCAUUCAGUCUUAGGUGAUUGAUUGAUUCAGAUUGUAAAAUCAUUGAACGGACUGUUAUUGAACUAUCAUUGAAGUUUGUUGCUUUGUUCACUGAAUGCUACUUCUGAAGAUUUUCAAUGGCUAGAUUUCUUAUAUUAUGACAAGUAUCAUGAUUGUGUGAUUUUUUUUCAUUAAGUUGUUUUAAAUUUUUGUUAAAAAGCGAUCAUUUUCGAUCCCCACCACAACAGUACAAAACCCGCGCUGAAUAGUUACUGGCCUCGGAUUGCCUUGACCAUGCAACGAUUUUGGUUGUUUAAUUUGUGAGAGAAAUGUGAUUAUUUAGCUAAAUGAUUCAUUUAAGAGCAUACUUUGCAAGUCAUAUUCAUCUUUAAGAAUCCAAACUUAUCAUGAAUCCUAAGGAAUGGCGAAGUCUAUAUUAGUUCAUAAAAUAAGGUGCAAGGUGAUAUCCAAAUCAAGCUUUUAGCUGGGAUCAGAAAGGAGUAAAAUUUGCAAAUCAUGUGAUAAUAUACAAAAACUAAUUGACAUAAAUACGAAAAUAUUCUCACAACAAACGCUAGUUUUUUACUGAAUCAUUGCGUGUGUACUUCAUGACACUUAAAAUGAAAAUGCAUAUCAAGGUGCAAGACAAAACACCAACUAUGAACAAAAAUAACACUUAAGAUCUUUCUUUUAACCAAGUGCCUAUUGAAAAACAGCAAAACAAUGUACUUCAUUACCCUCCUUCGAUGUCAAGAAGAAGAAGAAGAAGAAGAAGGGGAAGACAAUAGAAAGAUCCUUAAACUUUCCUAUUGAAAAACAGCAAAACAAUGAUACUUCAUUACUAUCCUAUCGAUGUUAGUGCGAUUCCUGUGCAACCAAUGCAGGUGGAAGACAACUUAGCUCAGACUGAAAAACAAGUGGAGGAUCAUCAAAGUAACAAAUUUCCUGACAUGUGUAUCAGUGGCCCAUGAAGUGAUGCAGUGACAGAUUUAGAUCACUUAAAUCCCAACGUCGCUCAUGACUUGGAGAUUCGUCAUUUUGGAAGGGCAAAGAUGUCAGUGCUAGUGUGCCUCAGGUUUAUACCGACGAGGAAGAAAGAGCGACAACUAUAAAUUAUUUAAAGAAUUGUUCUGCUGCUAUGGAAGAGCCUUUCAUUGAGGUAGUCUCCAAGAAAAACAAGAAGCGAAUGGGUAUUUUAAUUCAUUUUACUCGCUCUAAAGGCAGGAUUCCGAAUUGAUUCGACUUCUCUCUGUUUAUGCUUAUUUUAACUUGAUCUUUUUCUCUUUCUUUCCUGGUUAUCCUUUAUCACUUGAGAAAGUUUUGAUUUUUGUUUUGGAUUGCAAGUCUGUUGUUGAACGUUUUAAUUCAAACCUAGGUGAUAGCAGUGAACUAGGUUGUAUUUUUCAGGUUUGUAGGCAGUUGUUCGAAUGUAAUUUUCAGAACUCAUGUCGAGUUCAAUAGGAGGCAAGCCAAUGGGGUCGCUCAUGAAUUAGCUAGGGUAGCCCCAUCUCAUGCUAGCUCCCACGUUUAUGAUGAUGUACCGUCAUGCAUCCGAUACUUGAUAGCUAAUGAAAAACAAUGAAUUUUUUCAUUCAAAAAAAAAGAGUUUUGAUUUUUGUCCCCCUUCUCCUUUUAUUCUUAUCUCUUUUUUGUAUGUCUUUAGGAUGUUGCAGUAGGUUCUUCUUCUGCAUCUCCUUUGCUUAAAAAAAAAAUAAAAUAAAAAUCUGAAUCUAACAUUUUUACUAAACGAAUUAGUACUAGUCAAACUUGGUCUAACUUACUCCCACCGGAUAUAAUUUUAAAUUUUGAUCCAAAUUAAAUUGAUACCAACUACCAAAAAUAAUUUUAAUAUUGAUUGAUAUUCCCCCUAAAAAAAUAUUAAUAUUGAUAACUGAUACAAGUUCAUGAAAUAAGGAGGAGUUUAUGAAAGGAGGAGUUAUGGAAAAAAUGAUAAAUUGUUAUCUAGUUUUUCCAUACAAUAUUCAAAAACACAUUCAAACGUAGUUAACCUUGCCCAUUAUCAUCCACCAAGGUUGUUUCAAUUCCAAAUCAAUGUUUCUCACAAGACAUGUCUUCCCUUCAAACUCACGCACUCUCAGCACCUUCACCACUCACAUUCACCUCCAACAACCACUUCUUCAAAUGGCCCUUCAUGGCUUUAACAUGAAGUUUGAAAACUACAACGCAAUCUUAAACGAAUGCGUGAAUAAAAGGGCAUUCAGAGAAGGUCAGAGAGUUCAUGCCCACAUGAUCAAAACACGGUAUCUUCCUUCAGUGUUCUUAAGGACAAGGUUAAUUGUAUUGUACACUAAAUGUGACUCUUUGGGUGAUGCUCACAAUGUGUUUGAUGAAAUGCCUGAACGGAAUGUUGUGUCGUGGACUGCUAUGAUUUCCGCUUAUUCACAAAGAGGGUAUGCCUCUCAAGCUUUGAAUCUUUUUUUGCAGAUGUUAAGAUCAGGUAUAUAUAUACUUGAGCCCUGUUUGGAUAAACAACUUAAUUAAACGCUUAUAACAUAAAUGUUUAUGAUACAAAGUAUUAUUUAUAAACUAUUUUUAUAAGAAAAGAUAAAAUGAAGUCAAAUAGUUUUCAUAUAAACUAGAAGUUAUUUUCAUAAGUUUCCUUAAAAAAAAAAAAUGUUAUUUUCAUAAGUUAUCCUAGAGAGCUUACGGCUCUUUGGUAAAGAAUAGUGGAUGACUUAUAAGCUAGCUUAUAGAUGAUAGUGGAUAAGCUAGCUGAUUGAAUUUGUUGUGUUUGGUAAAAUUAGUGGUUGAAAUAGCUUUUAAAUAUGAAAUGACAUAGAAAAAAAGGUAUAUUUAAUUAAAAAAAAAAUCAAUUAAGAUUGUAGGGGUAAAAUUGAGAUAAGAAGUGACAAAGCUAUAAACUUUAAGCUAUAAGAUACUUGAUUUUGCUUAAUAAAAAACGCUAUAAGCUCAUCAAAUUAAGUUAUAAGCUCGUGAAAAAAUGACAAUUACCAAACAUGUCUUUUUUAGUCAUACGAGCUUAUAAGCUAUAAGCCAUAAGCUCAAAUAUGUGUCUUACCAAACAGACCCUAUUUUGUUGACAUGUGAGAAACUGUUUCCAUAUGCUUUUUCAAACAGUCUCACUGGUGUUUAUGCAAUAGAUAAGCUAAAAUUAUCCAAUCCAAAUAGGCCAUGGGUUUGCACAACUGCAUCAAAAUAGGUGCUUGUUAAUUAAGGACAAGUUGCAAAUGAUUAUAAAAAUGUCAAUGUUGGUUUCCUUUUUUCAGAGAUUUGUAUGUGAUUUAAAAGUUUUUCUUCGAAUUUUCUUUACAAAUAUUUGAAAAUUUAUAGUAAAGUAAAAACGAAAUAAGUAAGUACCACUGCUGUAAUUAUUAGUAAAAUGAAAACUACAAGUAAAACAUAAAAUGGUUUUUCAAAUCAAAUAAAUUUCGCCAAUGAAGUGAUUGUGAGAUUUCCUGCUGUAUUUUGCUUAUAAAGAGUUGCUUGAAUGUGGGAGUAGACGUUUUGUCACUUUUUACCCCAAAAUCGAUAAGAUGGAAUUCUAUGUCAAUGGUCUUUUUAAAAAUAGAGUUGACUGCCAAUACUUGUGUUGACUUGACCUUCAUUGAAUAUGAAAGACCUGUAAUCUUGAAAUAAGCAUGCGGAAGAUGCCAAAAGAUGAAAAUUUGAAUUUUCUUUUGUGAGUGUGUCGACUUUGGUAUCUUUAUUUUUAUGUCAUUGUUUUGUCAAUGGUUUCCGAGUGUUGACGGUAACUAUGCCUUCUCGCAGGUACUGAACCUAAUGAGUUCACUUUUGCAACGGUGCUUACUUCAUGUACUAGUUCUCUGGGUUUCAUUUUGGGGAGGCAAAUCCACUCUCUUAUCAUAAAAUUAAAUUAUGAAGAUCAUGUUUUUGUUGGCAGCUCACUCCUUGACAUGUAUGCCAAAGAUGGUAAAAUUCAUGAAGCUCGAACAGUGUUUGAAUGCUUGCCAGAAAGAGAUGUAGUUUCUUGUACUGCUAUAAUCUCUGGAUAUGCUCAACUUGGUCUAGAUGAAGAGGCAUUGGAGUUAUUUCGCCGUUUGCAAGGGGAAGGAAUGAAAUCAAAUUAUGUUACUUAUACUGGUGUUUUAACUGCACUUUCUGGGCUUGCUGCUCUAGAUCUCGGAAAACAAGUGCACAACCAUGUUCUUCGCUCUGAAAUUCCCUCAUUUGUGGUUCUCCAAAACUCAUUGAUUGACAUGUACUCAAAAUGUGGAAAUCUCACUUACUCAAGAAGGAUCUUUGACACCAUGUAUGAGAGAACUGUUAUCUCUUGGAAUGCAAUGCUUGUUGGGUAUAGCAAACAUGGAGAGGGAAGAGAAGUGCUUAAGCUUUUUACUUUAAUGAGAGAAGAAACCAAAGUCAAACCCGACAGUGUCACUAUUUUGGCUGUUUUAUCUGGCUGCAGUCAUGGAGGACUGGAAGACAAGGGAUUGAAUAUUUUUAAUGAUAUGAGCAGUGGAAAAAUUGAAGUUGAGCCAAAGAUGGAGCACUAUGGGUGUGUUGUUGAUUUGCUUGGUCGUUCUGGUCGAGUAGAAGAAGCUUUUGAGUUCAUUAAAAAGAUGCCUUUUGAACCAACAGCUGCUAUAUGGGGUUCCCUUUUAGGUGCUUGCAGGGUUCACUCAAAUGUCGACAUUGGUGAAUUUGCGGGUCAACAACUUCUCGAAAUUGAGCCCGGAAAUGCUGGAAAUUAUGUUAUUCUGUCUAAUUUAUAUGCUUCAGCAGGAAGAUGGGAAGAUGUAUCAUCACUAAGGGACCUCAUGUUGAAGAAGACAGUGACGAAAGAGCCUGGAAGAAGCUCGAUCGAGCUUGAUCAAGUACUUCAUACAUUCCAUGCAAGUGAUCGCUCCCAUCCUAGGAGAGAGGAGAUAUGUAUGAAAGUUAAGGAAUUAUCAACUAGUUUUAAAGAGGUUGGUUAUGUUCCCGAUUUGAGUUGUGUUUUACAUGAUGUGGAUGAAGAGCAGAAGGAGAAGAUACUUCUAGGCCACAGUGAAAAGUUGGCUUUGUCUUUUGGUCUGAUUGCUUCUCCUGCAAGUGUGCCAAUCCGUGUCAUAAAAAAUCUCCGUAUUUGUGUUGAUUGUCAUAAUUUUGCUAAAUAUAUCUCAAAAGUUUAUGGCAGAGAAGUGUCUUUACGGGACAAAAAUAGGUUUCAUCGAAUUGUGGGAGGAAAAUGUUCAUGUGAAGAUUAUUGGUGAGAAGACCCUGAUAGAGAGCACUCAAUGACUAGGUUCUUGGUAUUGUGCAAUUUAUGAGGGGGAAACAGAGGAAGGUAGUUGAAAAAGGAAACACUGGCCUACCAAAAGUGGGAUGUAAGUUAUGAAAAGAUUCAAAAUGGCAUGACAAUUGGGUCAUAAAGAAUUAAAAUGCAGAACUUUUACUGAUCAUAUAUUUGCCGACCCCACUUAGUGGGAUAAAGCUUGGUUGUUGUUGUUGUUGUUACUGAUCAUAUCUUUACCCAAAAUCAAGGAAUUGAAAAAUUCCACCUAAGGUGCAGGAAUAUUCAGAAUUCCUUGAACUUCUUCCCUUAGCCUCAAUAACCUCAACCUUGACUUCUUAUGUCUUAUCUGCCUUGGGUCUGCCCUCUGCUCUAUUUGCAAUGUUUAUGGCUUUUCCUGCAUAGCUGAUAAAUUUUUCAUCUUGAGGGCUUCACCUAUCAUCCAUGCAUGUUGAAGAACUCGUCUAUGAUGUAUUCUAGGUAUUCAUAUCUAUUCUUGAUUUUCUUUGUUCUAUGAUUUUGAAUGUCAUAUUUUGAUUUUGUUACGUUGUUUUUAUUCGGAAGCUGCAAUGGUAAAGCGAUUAUGUGAUGGUUAUAACUUGUGGUGCUGUUAGGAUGUUCUGCACAUGGAUUUUCUUUACUGGUUCCUUGUAAAACUUGUAACGUUGCUUAUGUUUCAGUUUUUUGGCUCAAAUUUAAGUAUUUGAAUUUUGGAGAUGUGGGUGUCAUCGGUGUUUGUUACACAUAAUGUUCAAAGUAAACCACAAUCUUUUGAGACUGUCUUAGUCUCGCGUAAACAAUGUUCUCCAUAUCUUUUUUAUUAAACUCUUCAUGUUAGUUAUCUCCCCAUAUCCUCUUCUCUUUCCUUCUGUUUCAUUUUUAUGAUUCUUCAUUUCAAAUUUGAUAAGUGCUCCACUUGUUUCACGGUGCGAUGUGUGGUCUGUUUUUUCGGAUGAAAUUUGAUGCAUUACACUUAUAGAGGCUUCAUUUAUGCUGUAAGUGGAUUCAAUGACGAUGGGUAAUCUGUACUGAACUUUCUGUGACAGUGUUUGAAGUUUAUUAAUUGUAGUUAAGUAGAGCUGCCUCUUGAUAGCUUUGAUCUCCAAAAAUGUUUUUGAACAAAAGAGAUUUCUUCCGCAUUCCUCAGUUUCAGAUUUUACUCAAGACGAGAAAUAUUCCUCGAGCUUUAUCCCUGAAGUUUCCUUCCUUUCAUGAAGAUAUCACGCAGGUCACUAUCCCUUUGUUCCGGGAGAAUAUUCAAGUAGUUUUGGAUCCUUCUUAUUCGGGCAUCUUGUCCUUUAAAUAAGCUUUUAAUUUCUUGCAUCCUUUGCAGAUUCCUAUAUCCUGGUUUAAGUUGAUUUUGUCUUAUCAUUAAUCCAUCGAGAUUGUUCCUAGUCUGAAGAAUUUUCCAUGAUAAAUUGCCAACUGAUCAUAACCCCAGAAAUAGAAGGAUGUGUUACAGUCUCUGUCUGUAGUCUUUGCGGUCCACGGAACAGCAGCUGAAAUGAAACCAUUUCUGACCUUUACUGGCAAUACCCUUUUGCUCAAGCAAUUUGGGAUUGGCUGAGCUUUAUUAUUAACAUUGAUUUAUCUGAAUUUGCAUUUGUAUUCUAUAUUUUUAACAGGACUUGGAGCUCUCAAAUAAAAGUUUCCCUUUUGGCUGCAAUCAUUCACACCUUUUGGUUUGUUUGGUGUUGUUGCAACUAGAGCAAAUUUGACAAUCAGAAUUUCCAUUGGAAGUCAGCCAUUAACAUGAUUGUGGCAUCUACUUCUAUGGUUGGUAAAUAUUUUAGCGGUCAUAUGUCCUCCUCUGUAUGAGAUUUAUUCAUUUUAAAGCUCUUAUGUGUACUCGGACAUAUUAACAAGGCUUCUUAUAUCAUUCAAGUUGACCGGAUCGCUCCACCCUGUAGUUGGAUAAAGGUAAUGCCAUGGAGCUGCUAAAUGAUCUCUUAGUCAUGCAGAAGGAGGUGACAUGUUCAGAGAUAAACGUGAAGCGAUUCUUGAAUGGUUUGCCUCUUAUUACCGCAUCUCAAAUUUUGAUGAAAACAUAGGAGGAAGAUCCAUAAACAAGAAAGGAAACACAGAGGACUUACAAUGAGAAGGACAAGAUCUACGAAGGCUAAAGAGGUUCUAAAUAACUUUGUAGCCACUUUAUUUAAAGCAAAUCCUAGUCUUGAAGAACGAAAGCCAUUGAUCGUAAAUUGUCAAUCCAAAUUGAAGGAAUAAAGGCAUAAAGGUUGUGUUUGUGUAUAAUCCAAAUUUUAUUAUUUGUUCUAUUUAAAGUAGUGGGAUGAAUUAGUAAGCUAACUUAGGUAUAAGUGUAAGGGACUUGAGUUGGAACAGUUCCAAGAAAACUUGUAAAGUGUUGCCCACCAUAAAAGACACUCCUAAGCUUCUUAUAAAGCAAAUUUUGGACAUUGAGCUUAUUGGCUUCCUGAGACCUUGUUCUCUAGAAUUCAUGAGAUUCACUUUGAAUUUCUCUAUGAAUAAAGUUUUAACAACACAGCUACUAUACUGAGACUAUGAUCUUGCAGUGCCCUUUAACUUAUGCAACAUUUUUUUUUAGGACCAGAUGCAUACAUUCAUACUGAUCACUGAUCAGAUGCAUACAUUCAUACUGAUCACUGAUCAGAUGCAUACUUAUUCAUGAUAAUUUGAAGUUCGCCAUGAGGCUGAUGAUUUUUCAUAUUGAUUCUAACCAGGUGUUUUGUUCUUCAACCGAUGCGCAAACAUAUCAUCUUUUUCAUUUUUAAAGUUGAAAGUUGAAACUAGCUUGAUUCUGGUUCAGUGACAUAAUGUCACUUCACAUAUGAUCUGUAUAUGCACAAUUAAAUAACUUUGUCUACUAAUAAAAAUUAAAUUAUUGACAUGUAAAUCAAGUUAUCAUUAAACUCAUAAAUUGCGAGUUAUCAUUAAAAUUAAAAAUAUUGAGUCUAGAUUUUCCAAUCAUUUUGGUUCUAAAAUAUUUAGUGAAAUAUUAUUUUAUAUUUUGUCCCUCUAUCCGUGGACUUUUAUUUUUAUUUCCUCGCUCCAAUUUAUUUUAAAAAAUUCUUAUCUAACUCAAUCAUCGACUAAUUUCAGAUCAAUCCUAUCGGGCACUAUUGGUUGUCUAGUUGAAAUAUAGACCGAAACUGUGAAAUUUAUGUUGAUUUGGUCCUUGGAUCAAGAGUUAAGAAACAAUCCUAGGAUCAAGAGUUACGAUGCGAUAGCAGGAAGCAGAAUUUAAAAUUCAAAAUUGCGGUUUGAUUUGUUUUAAUAGGGAGGGAAAGUGUAUGUUUGAAAUCAAAUUGAUUCCUAAUUCUCGAUGAGUAGAGAACGUUUUACUAUCUAGAAGUCCUAGCUCAAUUGGCAAAGUGCCGAAAUUGUUAGGUCGGAUGCCAUGACCGGGGUUCGAACCCCGGUACCUCCACUUGUGUGUGUGAGUUUAUAAUUGCUUUUCCAUUUCGUCUAUCUACCAAAAAAAAAAAAAAAGAGAACGUUUUAUAACUACCGAUGAAGGUAUUUUCGGAAGUUUGAGGUGCUUGUAAGCAAGUAAAGGUGUCUAAAUAGCAAUUUUCUUGAUUGUUUGGUUAUAAGCCCAAUUGAAAAAACAGUUUAACCCAAGUCCCUCUAAACACACACUCUCUCUCUUUCGCCCAAUUUCCUUUGUUUGCGUUGUGCCACUCAGGUCUCACUCUCUCUCUUCUCUCUCACAAAAGAGGGAUCCAUCACCAACAACAACAACCUCCACAACAACAAUCGCCACCAUCCACCAUGCUCCGCCAACGUCUCCUCACCUCUCUCCGUCUCCGCGGCGGCUCAGGUACCGGUACAAGCCGAUGGACAAGCCCAGGCCACGAAGAAAGACCUAAAGGCUACCUCUUCAACCAAACACCACUCGCUCCAGGUGAGUCACGCAAAUGGGAAGAUUGGGAACUUCCUUGCUACAUCACUAGCUUCCUCACCAUCGUUAUCCUCGGUGUUGGUCUCAAUGCUAAGCCUGAUUUGACUAUUGAAACUUGGGCUCAUGAUAAAGCCCUUGAACGUCUCAGAUUGGAAGAUGCUGCUGCUGCUGCAAACGCCGUCGCCGUCGCUGAUGAUUCUGAUGAAUAGAGAUGAUUUUGAUUUGGAUCGGAAUCGGGUUUAGGUUAAAGACGAAAAAUUAAGAAGGUUUGCUGUAAUAAUGGGAUUUGAAUUUCUCUAACUUUUUUUUGCACAUGUUUGUUGUUAAGAUGAGAUUGAUGACUCGCUUGUUGUUAUUAUUAUUAUUUGUUAAUUAUGUUUUUUGUUUGAAUGUUAAUAAGGUAUUCCAGUGUUACUUUUCUGGUUUCAAUUUGUUCUUGUUUUUAUAUGCUAUUUCGGUUCUUAAAUGUGUUAGACACUAUGAAGAAAUUCACAUGAUUGAUUAAAUGUAAUCAUGUUGGACACCGAAAUUGCGGUCUCAUGCUACACCAUUACAGUAGUUUUUGAUAAGCUAAAUGUGUCUUUUGUUAGUUAGUUUGCUCCUAGAGUGUCGUCUGUUAGUCGAUUUGGUUGAUAAAAUUGCUAACAAAAGACACUUAUUUAUGAACCAAAGUAAGGUUUAAUCUUUUUACAAUGCUUUGUAUUAAUGAUCUAUGUUUGGAGGAAUACUUGAAAUAAAGGUAGAAUUUAUUGCAAUUUCUUAUUGUGGAUUUGCAAAUUUGAAAUUGUUCUACUUAGCUUUAGAUCAUUAGUGUUAAAAGUGAACUUUAGGUUGGUCAAUUUUCGACAUUUGAUUCAUGUAUGCAUGUGUUGCAAUUGUAUGAACUAAAUUCGUUGAUUGUUGCGUUGUGUUUUUUUUUUUACAUGAUGAUUAUGGAACAUGGAAAUGGUUUAGCUGGCUGUCUUCUUUAGGUUGAAAAUCCAAGCUUAUUUCAAUGUUUUCAUUGAGUAGAAUCUUCAACCUACGUUAUUUUGGUCCUUUUUACAUUCAAAUUAUUGAAAUGUUGCGAGGUGCUAAUCAUUGACAGGUAAUAUGAAUAUAGAUCUUUUUGAGUUGAUUCAACAUACACUUUUAACUAAGGUUGACACAUAUCAAUUAAUAAUGCCAGUAGUAUUGCUUGUUUGUAAACACGGCACAUUUGUUAUAAACGUGUGUCAGCCAAGAAGCUGCAUAUUGUGGCUUCUCCAUUUUCCCAUCUAAAGUGCCUCGAAACGUGAUAUUUAAGGUGUAAACGUCCAUCUAAACACUCUCGUAGUAGUUUAUGUUUGUGUGGUACAAGUCGUUCAUUCGCUCUUUAUAAGGUUAUGGACUUGUGGGUCUAGCUCUACUACCUUGCUGUGUUUUAUAGUAGUUUCAAAAUUCUAGUGGUAGAUUUUCUGUUUGGAUCAAUUUGAAUUUAGUGUCAAGAAUCAUUGAGCAGUUUGUAGAUGGCAGAAAGAAGUACUUAUAUGUGUGCGAGGGUAAUGUUGAAAUUAGUUCACCUGGGGACCACGGACCUUCUGUUUAUUUAUUUUGUUGUGCUUUGGAUCACUGAGUCAUUGACAUACACGGUAGUUGGGAAUGCUGCGUGCUUUACUCCACAUCUUUUGCUGCAUGCUUUACUCUGCAUCUUUUUAUGGGGAGAGUAAACUAAUCCAGAAAGCUUAUACAGUAUAUAUGUGAACAAACAAGUUCAAUUUAUCUAUUUUUAGGUUUCCAGACUUGAGUAAAGUUUGGUAUUAGCAAUUGUGACAUUGAAUUUGAACUUAUUCAAUAAGUGGGGUAUUAGGAAUAGUGCCGUGUAUCAAUAUUUUUGGCUCCCUUUUAAGCGCCUGUUUGGAACUGCUUCGAAUUAUAGCAGUGAAUAUGGUGAGUCCAGAAAUUAUGAUUCCAGCUUUCGUCUGAAUUUAUAAUGUUAUGUUAUUCUAUUUGUUCAACUUGUCUGUAGCCAUGUUGCUUUGUUAGUUUGGUUUGAUAUAACACUGAAGUGGUAAAAGAGAGGAUAUGGACAGGUUCAAGUUGUCAAGUGGGAACUCCUCGAGUUUUGGUUGAGAUAGUUUCUUUCAUAUUUGGAGAUAGGUAACUUGUUUUCUGGUUUUUUUGACAUGGGUGGCCUGUUUUCAAUGUUCUGACGAAUGCUUUUGAGUAUUUUUCAAGCCUGGUUUCUCGAGGUUUUUUUAUUGUGAUUUCCUGUAGGUUAUUUUAUGUUUCUGUAAGAUGAAUCCAAGCUGUUAGAUAUUUAUAGAAGUUCAUAUAUAAUAUUUUAUGGCUAAAGGUGAUUGAAUUUGCAAAGCCAUUGUGAUAAAUUUAGUUAUUGGUUACCUUGGUGGAGUAUACAAGGGAUAUGGGAAUCGCCCAUCAAAUUAAAAUUUUGUGGCCGUACGUUACUCCCCCAGUUCCUAAUUAUAAGCUCCAUUUAAAAAAUUUGUCACCCCUAUUAAUAAUCCUAUUUAUCUUGAAAUUUUAAAAUUAAAGUUAGACAUUAAUAUAUAAAUGGUAUUUCGGGAAGACCAACACAUAAAAGAGACAUUAAAUUCAUUAAUCGCUUUUCUUUAUAACAAGGAAGGGAGGAAGUAUAUAUCACCACUUGCACACCAGACCUUCCAUCUUCUUCACAUUGCAAAUCAACCAAAUUGUUUAGGAAUGAGGACUAAAUAUGUGCUGCACAAGUAGUAUAAGUCUUGUUCUUCGCACAAACUUGUUUUCAUUCAAUCAAUAAAUAUCACCAUUAAUUUAUGUAAUAUGAUAUUUAUUGAUCUAAUGGUUGAAAAUAGACUUGUGCAUUAAUAAUUUGCUUGUGUACAUUAGACAACAUCAUUUUGUGGCUUAAAUUCACUAGGCGAAAAGAUAGUCUGGCCACACUCGAGCGCUAGAAAGAAUAAUUGAGUUCAAUUUGCCUUGACUCCAAAUAACUUUUUUAGUGGUUGACCAUUAUUUUUUCAUUAACUAAUUAACCUCUAAAGUUUGUUUAUAAAAAUAAAUAAAUGUUUUUAUUUUAAGGAAAUCUAAGUGUUGAAAUAUUCAAGAAAUUUUAGGGAAGUCUAAGUCUUGAAAUAUUCAAGAAAUAAAAUGUAAUUUAGCUUGUUUUAUUUUGAAAUUAAAAAAUUACACGUGACAUCUAAAACACGUAAGCUAGGUGACAAGCAGGCGUUGGCCGGUCAAAAUUGCUACUUGCAAAAGGGAGUAAAGUUAGGGAGCUGAAUUGUUUUUUUUUUAUUAGAGGGCAAAAUUGCUACUUUUACAAAGUUUUGGUGACAAAAUGUGUUUAAGCCUAUUUGAAAUCAUAUUGGUUUUCAUAUAUAUUAUUGUAUAUAAUUUUUGUUUUAUAUUUUCUUUUAAGAGAAUAUAUUUUUCUUUAUGACCCCUUCAAAAAUAUAUAUUUUUAUAUAUGACAACCUUUUUACAAAAAUAGAGUUAUGUAGUGCAAGGUUAAAUUUUUGAAUAAUAAACAUUGCCCUUAUAUACUUAUGGGGGUGUAACUCAUGAGAGUAGUAUGUAUUUUUCACUCAAAGUAUUGUAUCCUCCGCGGCCAAUGUAACGCCCUAGUUGUUAUUUAAUUAUUUUUAGUUGAUUUAGAGUCUUUUAUAUGAUUUUAAAUGAUUUAUGUUGAUUUUAUGUUGUGGUGUAUUUUAUUAAAUGGCUAUUUUUAUUUAUUUAAUAGAAUAAGUGGGAAUUAUAAUUAUUUGGAGUUUUGGGGGUUAUAUAUUAAUUAAGGGAAUUAAGUGGGAGUUAUUUAAAAUUAAAGGGGAGUUAAGUAAGGAGUUAGAAAAUCAGAAAACAGUUUUUACGUACAAACAAGUCUUUGGGAGAAAAACCAAGAGAAGUGCCUAGAGGGGAGAAUCUGAUUCUUGGAAAGCUUUGUUCAUCAAAUUAAGGUAAGGGUGAGAAUAACUCUCAAUGAUGAUAGUGUAUACUUCUGAUUUUGGUUUAGCAAUGGUUCUAGUUGAAAUUGAGAAUUGGGGGUUAGGUUUUGAUUAUGAUUUUUGAAUUAAAGAGUGAAGAAUCCAUGGCAAUAGUGUUAGAUUGUGUUCAGGUCGUAGGCAGAAACUUAUAACACUUCUGUAAUCUGUUUUGGGGAUUGAAUUGGGGAAAAUUGGGAUUUUUGGAUGAAAACUGCAGAAUUCCCGUAGUCAGACCUGACGCAACUCGCCAUGGCAAGUAAGCUGACUCGCCUCGCGAGUAAGCCUUUUCAUCGCUCGCCUCGCGAGCAAAACCACUCGCCGUAGCGAGUACCUGAGUGAGGAAUCAUGAUUUUUAAAAUGUUGUUAUAAGACGUAAGUUGGACGGUUUUGAGUGCCUGGAUGUUUUUAGAUAGGACUGUGCCAAUUUUUAGAUUAAAAAGAUAAUUAGCGAGCUUAAAAAUGAAGAUUUAGUGAGAAAAAUGUCAAAACUCCCGAGAGCACCAUUUUCUUGCUCGCCAUGCACUCGCCAUAGCGAGUGGCCUUUUUCUUGAGCUCGCCAUAGCGAGCAAAUGCACUCGCCUCGCGAGUUGCUCAGUAGCUGAGAACCGCUUUUGCAUUUUUGUAUACGGCUGGGCUGGAAUCUUGGGUAUAUAAUAAUCCUGAUUAAUUAUAAUAUUUUAUCUGAGUUGCUGACUUGCAUAUGAAUGACUGUUGAUUGUGUAUUUAAGUAUAAUUGUAUGUAAAUAAAUUAUACAAGUAGCUGAAUUCCAAUGUUGAAUGUUGUGGCGUUGCUAGUUGAUCAUGUUUUUUUUUGAAAAAGCCAAAAUGAAAUUAUAUAACAGUGCAGUCCCUAGAGCACAAGGUGUGCCAUAGAGACUACAAACAGGAACCAAGAGUUACAACAAAACAAACAACCCAACAGAGCUACAUCAGCCUAUACCCAAACACAUAAGAGGGCAAGACCACCACUGCUGAGUACCAAACACAAAAGUAGCUUUUUUAGCCUUCAACCAAGCUAAGGAUAACAUCUUGACCUUAUCUAACAAACGGGGAAUGGGAGUUAUUACAUUAUUAAACAGUCGAUUAUUUCGCUCAUUCCACACAACCCAGGCACAGAGAAGCCAAAUAAGUUGCAUAAAAGAACGUCUAGACUUAGCACCACCUGUCAAAUGAAUAAACUGAAGAAAAUGGUCAGAUAUAUUAUCAGCAUGCACCCCCGAGCAACCAAUCCAAUCACGCACCAUAUACCAAAGCGAACCAAAAGUGUUACACAACAAAAAGAGAUGUUGGGCCGUUUCCGGAUGACCGUAACCAGCGGCACAUAAGGACAUGUCAUUCGAUAACACCCGACGAGCAAUCAAAUUAGUCUUUGUCGGUAAACGAUCUUGGAGUAGUCUCCAAGCAAAAACUGAAAUCUUCAAGGGAACCUGUUUGUGCCACACCAACUCCGCAUCAGUAGCCGCACCUGAGUGAUCCUGAGAGGUUAGCACAUGAUAAGCACCACUAACGGUGUAUCCAUCUGACGGAGCAGGAAGCCAAACCCGUCUAUCUGAAACAUUCGGAAACAAGAGAACAUCAAGAAGUAAAGCCCUACGUCUCCACCGCUAACAUGUCCUCCUCCCACUACCAUAACCUACGUCUCCACCUCCACAUAACCCCCCAUUGCUCCGAAUCAACAGAGAACAAGUCUCCAACAGACAUGAACUUAUUCUCUGUUAACUCAAACAGCCUACGAAAACGGACACAAAAAGGAACAUCCCCUAACCACCUAUCCAACCAAAACAACGUAUCAGCUUCAUCUCCAACCCUCCUAGCCACAUGAUCAACAAACCAUCCGCUCUCUCCAUCACCAUCACUACCCCUAAGACGACAUCAUGUUGAUGCAUAAGUCAUAUUUAUAUAUGCAUUGUUGUGUAGUAGAUGUUGUUGUUCAUGUUGUUGUCGUUGUAGGAGAGUUGUAUGUUGAUAUACACUAAAUUGAGUCCAUUGCAUACUCAUAAUUGUUGAGGGCUUAUGCCCUGUGAACGCCUUGUCGUUCAAACCGUUGAGGGCUCAUGCCCUGGGAAUGCUUUAUCAUUCCAACUGUUGAGGUCUUAUGCCCUGUGAAUGCUAGUUCAUUCAAUCGUUGAGGGCUUAUGCCUUGUGAAUGCUCGUUCAUUCAAACGCGUUAAAAUGGUACCACAUGCAUUGCAUUGUCGCAUUUGUUGUUGAGUCAUAGCAGUGUUGUCAUGUCAUUGGAUAAGUCGUUGUUGUUGGUUGAGUAGUAGUUUAUGUUGUUAGUUGAAAUUGUUAAAUGUUGAUUAUGUUGUUGAUUAUGAAAUAUAUAAAUAUAUUGAAGUAAUGUUGUUAUUUAGGGUGUUAGAUUCAAUUGAUGAAUUAUAUAUCUAUUAUUGUUGUUUGUGAAUCUCACCCCUUCUGCUUGGAAAAGUUGCCCUUGGUAUGGGUAACUUGCAGGUGAUCCAGAGUAGUUGAUCUUAUUGCUGUCGUGAGUGGACUCCUCACAUGUGUCGUAGGACUCUGAUACGUAACGGGAUGGGGAUUAUAUGUCGUUGUAUUUUCAUCAUUCCUUAUGUAUCAUUUAUGAACCUGUUGAUGUUAAUUUAAUCUUUGAAGAUACUUUGUUGAGGCCAUGUGCCAAGAUUUGUUGUUGGAAGUUGUUUAAUGAUGAAUUAUGAAUUUUCCGCUGCAAUAUAAUAGUUGCUAUGUUGUUGAAGUUUAAUAAAUAACACUUUAUUCUAUUUAAGGAUUUUUGAAUAGCAGUGUGACAUUCCGUUUUGUAGAUUUAAACUCUGAUUAUAUUUAAUAAUUACGUUGUUGGGAUAACGGGGUGUUACAGCCAAUCUUAUACUCCAUCUCAAAAAUUUGGAGAUGGGGAUGUUGUAUCUUCAAAAGACACUUCAAUGACAAAGUUAGACAGUGAGCUAGCAAAUAGUAAGGGGCGUUUGUUUGAGGGUUACAAAAUCUAUUCUCAGGUAUCAACUUUCCCAGGAAUGUGAAGGUUAAAAUUUUAUUCCCAGAAAAAUAUAGAAAAAAGUGUUUGGUUAAUUGUUGAAUUCGUGGGAACUUUUUUUAAAAUAAUUACAGGGAACAAGUAAAAUACAUUUGGUUUGCAAUGUAGAAUCCUGGGAAUGAACAUUAUAAUUACACAAAUGCCCCGUUGUAUAAACCAUAAAUCUAACGUAUAUUAGUGAUCCUUCUUUACACUCCAAUUUUGCUGGUAAUUCGUGUGCAAAUCAAUUGAAAAGGAGUACUGUUGUGCCUUGAUUAAAGAUGCUGGUAAACUAUAAAAAUCAAUUAACUUGUGGAAUUUUUUGAGAUUUUAAAAAAAUAUCCUAGAUUGUUAUUCCAUUCUACUUUUCGAUACCCAUGCAAAAUCAAAAUUGUGAAAACAGUUAUUUGACAUCCCUACCCCAAUGGAACAUAAUCAUUUUAUCUAUCCAUAUUUGUUUGGAUCUUGUUGUGAAUGUAUUCCAGGAGGGAGGUUGGUUUCUUUACAUCAUUUCGUAAACGAAACUUAUAAUUAUAGGUACACAUAGCUAUCCUAUAUUCAUGGCUGGAGAAUCAUAAUUAUGUGUUAAUAAAAAAGCACUCAACAUAGAAAUGAUAAGUUAUAAAAUUUAAUUUAAGUGGGAAUACAAAUUCACCAGAUCCUUAAAGUUGAUUUGAUCUUGCCAACAAGUUCAAUAAGUUCAUGUAACCUCUUUAAUUAGUUGCUACUUUGCUAAAUUGUAUAGGAUCCGGUAUAUUUGAUGCACGCUGUGUUGGUACUUGGUAGUCACAUGUUUAAUUGAACAUAUAUAUUGUUCAUCCCAACUAUGUACGAUCUAUUAAGCACGGAUACAAACUCCGACACCAGACAUGACACAGACACGCCGACACCGUUAAUAAUUUGAGAAAAUCAUAUAAUUUGGUAUAAUUAUAAGUGUCGGUGUCGGACACGACACAUGUCCGACACUAGGACACGGCAUGUGUGUCACUAAAAAAUGAAAGAAGAAAAAAAUGUUGUAUAAUGUAAAAAAAAGUCUGUGACCAGAGUGCACAUGAACCUAAAUUGAAGAAGAUAAAUUGGAAUUCUCCCAUGAAGAAAGUUGGCACAAAAAAUGGUCAAAUUUAUUUGAGCAUGACAAUUUUCGCUUAUGUUUGAAAGAUGGAAUAAAGAGCACAGUUUUAAAGUUUGAGGAUUUUAUUCACAUUUUUAAUGUUUGAGCACUAAAAGCACAUGAUCCUAAUCCUAAGUUGGAGGGAGUAAAUUGGACUUUUCCCUAAACAAAUACAUUCAGUGCCAACAGAUAACCACAUACAUAGUAAAUAGCUUGGUAAUAGAGGUAAAGAAAAAAUAAAAAUAUACCCUGCUGGGAUCAGAGUGAGGAUGUAUUGGUCAAGGAGUUCAUGCAUUGUUCGACUACCAUGCUCUUGAAGAUCAAGAAACAAGCUCAUUUUUUAGAGUCAUACAAUAGAUGUUGCUACAAUCAGUCAACAAAUUAUGCAGAAAUCACAUGAAAUUGUUCAAGUGUUUUAUAUGUAAAACAAUGUGCAGUCUGUCACAGAUUGCAGCAACAUACCAACACAAGGUAUUGAUAAACACUCGUCCAAGCACAAGGUAUACCUGGAAACACACAAGAAGAGUACAAACAAAACUACUGAAGCAGCGAGAUAGUAGAAACAAUAGUAGAAAGAAGAAAAGAAAAAAACCAGCCAAAGCAGGUCGAAAACAACGCAUAAAUCUGCACCUAAAAUUGGACAUAACAGCCUCAAAACUAAAUGAAAAGCAAUAUCAGCCACAAAAACCUAAAAAAUCAUAAAAGUAUGGAAUGGAACUACACUAAAUUGCAGAUCCGACAUCAAAAACAAGGCUAAACCUACAUUGCUCUUUAUAUCAUCAAUGAUUUGAAAUUAGCCCCUAACAAUAAGCUGCAAGCUUCAGUUUCACAUGAAGCUUCAAGUAAUGAUAGAAUCUUAUAACAGUUUCUGAAUAACUCUAUAAACAUUAUAAACCUCAUAAAUCAUUGUGAGCUGCGCUAAUAGAAUUGUUUGUCAUGUAUUAUGCUUUUGGAUUUAGCUUUAGCCAAAAAACCUAAUCAUCGUUGCACUUAAUGUUAAAUUAUUAUUACAAAACUAAAAAUAUAGCAAAAUCACAAACACAAUAAUCAUGAUGAUAAUGACACCCACAUUUCUUCAACAGGAUCAAAAUAAUCAACAAGGUCAAACAAACCAUUUUUGCUAAAAAUGAUUCAGGCAUCUAAGCAAACAUCAAAUCAGCUCUGAAAAAGUACAAAUGGUUCAAUGUCGAGAAAAAGCAAUAAGCAACAACAGACACUAGAACAUCAUAAAACACUCUCUACAGCAAACAAACAUCAGCAAAAACCACAAUACAACAGUGCUAAAGAAAAACACAUGGCAUAAAAAAAAAUGCAAUUAAAGCAAAAGCAAAGCUGGUACAUAACAUAAAUGAAACCAAAAAGCCUUCACAUACACAAAUUUCCUUUAGCCAACUCAGAACCUGCACAAACCACUCUGAUCCAAUUUCCACUUCUGCCAAAGAGUAACAACAAAAAUUAUAAACCAGGUAAUUCUUUGCAUAAAUUUUACACCAGCCACCACUGAUGUUAAACAUACACUUAGAAUCAGUUCUGUCCCCAUCUUCACUAUUAAAGAAGAUUGCAAAAUCCACAAGAAUAAACUAAAAAAAGACACUAAAAACUAGUUAUACAUAAACUGAAACCAAUACGAGACCAGCAAAAUCACUUUUUCAAAAAUAAAUCAAAAGUUGCACUAGUAACAUAUCCAAUAGAGUAAAUAAAUUUAAAGUAUAAUCGAAGUGAUUACACAACUAAUAAAGACCAUAAUAACGGAUUCAACUAAAUAAUAAAAUGAAUUAAAGACAGUGGCUACUGAGUUUAUUUUUACCAAAUUCAAAAAGCAUUGAACAUUCUAAAUUCUACCUAGAACCAUUGUUACUCAAAACAAUGUCCACAAACCGCUUCCUCAAUCCAGGAGUAUCCAUUGUGAAAAAAAUAGUCGCAAAGGUUAUUGUCUUUGGUGAUAAGCAUACCAGCCAUUACCACUUCUGCAUCAGACAGUCCUUCAAUUUCUUUUAAAAUAGAGACAAUCUGGUUCCUCCUAUCAGCUGUGUGUUUCUCAUGCACAAAACAAGAAGUGAAGACUUGUUUCAUAUUCUCAAUACCAUUAGCAUAAAUCUCACCCAAUUUGUUCAAUGAAUUUGACAUGCUAUCAGAAGCAUCAUCGUUAUACUUCACCCUUUUNNNNNNNNNNNNNNNNNNNNNNNNNNNNNNNNNNNNNNNNNNNNNNNNNNNNNNNNNNNNNNNNNNNNNNNNNNNNNNNNNNNNNNNNNNNNNNNNNNNNGAUUUUUAUGCGACAUUUAUGAAGAGGCCUUCGUGCCAAAGACUGUUUUAGUUAUUGAAAUAAAUUCCGCUGCGAAGUAUUAAAGAUCUUGUAUUUGAAUUUUAAAGGAUAAAUAGUUAUUUAUUCAGUUUAUGAUUUUAAGAAAAGAAUGUGACAUUCCGUUUAUGUUGAAAAACUCUGAUUAUUUAUGUUUAAUUUUUAUGUUGGGAAAACGGGGUGUUACAAUAGCGAGCAGAUCACUCGCCAUAGCGAGUUGAUCAGUGAGUCAAUCUGAUUUUGUGAUUUAACUCCUUAAGUCGAGCUUUAGAUGAUUUUGAGUGCCUGAAUAUGUAUAAGAAUGAUUAGGCAAGUUUUUAGAAUUGAAAUUGAACCUGGGGAAGUUAAAAAUGGGAUUUUUGGGUGAAAAAUGUCAAGUUCCCGAGAGCACCCAAUUUUAGUUCGCCAAGGCGAGUAGCCUUUUUCCUGAACUCACCAUAGCGAGUAGAGUGACUCGCCUCGCGAGCUGCAUAGAGACAGACAACCUUGUUUUGGGUUUUGCGAUACUUGUCGCACGAGAAGUUAUGAGUUGAUCCUUGGGUAGGAAUGGAGGUUGAUUAUAAUAUUACUAAUGUUCUGUGAAUUUAUUAUUACAUGAUUUAAUGUUGAUAGAAAUGUGAUAUAUUUGUAUAUGCAUUAUGUGGAUUAUAUAAGAUGUUUAAGUGUUGUUGAUUAUUAUUUGAUAUUGUUAUAUCCUAAGAAGUUUAUGUACUGCGUAUGUUGUUGUUGUUUAGUAACUAAGCUGCAUGAGUCGGUCUAAGAUGUAAGAUGUUGAUCCAAAUUAUUGGAGUUAUAUAAGAUGUCGAUGUUCUAAGAUGUAAGUUGUCGAGUUCAUGCAUACUCAUUCAUGUUGGGGGCUUGAUGCCCUAGAGCCUUUGCUCAACACGUUGGGGGCUUGAUGCCCUGGAGCCUUUGCUCAAUUAAGUUGAGGGCUUGAUGCCCUGGGAGUAUAUUAAUGCUCAAAUAUGUUGAGGGCUUGAUGCCCUGGAUUGGUACCACAUUCAUGAUUAAGAAGAUAAGUUGCAUAGUCAAGUCGAAGUUGCAUUGUCGAGUCAAGUUGUUAAGUUGUUACAUUUUAAUGAAGUGUUUAAUGAAGAAUUAUUAUAUGAUGAAUUGAUGAUGUUUAUGUUGUUAAAUAUAAUUGUUGAAUUAUAUGCUUAAUAUUAUUGUUUUGUGAAAUCUCACCCAUUCUGCUUGAAAAUGUUGCUCUUCGUAUGAGUAACUUGCAGGUGAUCGAGAAUAAGUUGCUGUUAGAUUGCUGUCGUGAGUGGACUAUCUCUCACGUGUGUCUUUAGGUGCUCUGAUAAGUAACGAGAUGAAACUUUGUUUCUAUUUUCUAUUCCUUACGUAUUACUUUAUGAAUUUUCAUGAAUAAGUGUUGAUUGAUUUUACGAGAUGUUAUGAAGAGGCCUUUGUGCCAAGACUAUUUUUAGAUGAAUGAAUUGAAUUUCGCUGCGAAGUAUUGAAUAUUAUGUUAAUUGAAUUUUGAAGGAUAAUUAGUUAAUUAUUCCGUUUAUGAUUUUAAGAAAGAAGUGUGACAUUCCGUUUAUGUGUAUUACUUUGAUUAUUUAUAUGAAAUUUUUAUGUUGGGAAGACGGGGUGUUACAGUGGUUCGAGGUCGUUUAUCAGUCGUUGGAACAAAAACUUUGGUUUGGAUGAUUUGAACGCUAAAAUAAUCUAAAUUCAAAUCAAUUUUAUAUGGUGUAAGUGCAAUUUUGGUUAUGUUAUCUGAAAUCCCUCAGCAUAGGAUUCUUUUGUGUGGACCACAAUGCACCGACAUUUUAACAUUUUAUGUGAUCCACAACGUCCAGAGACCUCUAUAAAUAAGUAUUUCCGAUUUUCAUCUUCAUUUUCAGCGAAAUACACCAAAGAAAACCAUACAAAUUUUUAUCAUUAAGCUAAGCAUCUUCCUCUUGUGGUCACAAAUAGACCGCGUGAUGAAGCUCUUAUCAUGUUGUCAAAAAUACAAACAAACAUACCAAGGAAAUCAUGAACAUUUUUGUCAUUGUGUUGAGGAUCUUUCUCAUGUUGUUUUAAAUAGAUAUCUAUCUAUUUAACCACAUGAUGAAGAUCUUUAGCAUACUUUCAAAAAUUGAUAGAUUCUAGCUCUACAUUUAAAUACCAAGAGGUUUGGUAUGAGCUAGAUCUUGGUGCAUUGGCAAUAAAAAUAUCUCACUUGGCAAGGCAGCAGGAUCUAACUCAAAACAAUCCUCUUGAAACACAUACCUUGUCUUUCAUCGUUAUGUUGCAGAUCUGAAUCCGAAAAGGUUUUUAUGAACUCGAUCCAGUUGGUCUGCCAAUAGAAAUAUGUAUGUUGGCAAGCCAGCUGGAUCGAGUUCAAAAGUACCUCUUCGAACACCAUCCUAGAAUAUUUUGUUGUUUAUGUUUGUUUUAAGCUACUUACUUUUUUUAUACACUUAUUAAUUAUUUUCUAUGUCAUAUUCGAUGAAAACUCUCUUAAAAACCCUCCAAAAUGGUGUUGUUCGGAUUAUAUAAUCCGGAAUGUUUUUGUCAUUUUCGGAUUAUAUAAUCCGACAACCCUUAGUUUCUUAUGGACUGUGCGUUUCACCAAAGGUUUGGCCGGGUAGUGGAGUUUUAAUGCGUUUUUUAGACGGUUUUGAAUGACAAAUCAUAUAGCAUUAAUUAGUUUUAUUGAAAAAUAUAAGAAUAAUUGACAAAUCAUACCUUUAAAAUACCAAAAUGACACUUAAAAAGGAACGUAGGGAGUAAAUUCUAAAUAAUUAAAUUAAUAACAAACUAAAAAUCGGGACGUUACAUCCCGCUUGCAUGGAAGUGGUAAGUUAGUCAAGUCUGUAAAUGAGAUGAGAUGUUGAUUUGAGCAACCUAUGCGAAAAGGUAUGUUUUCCUUGAAAAAUAUGCAGAGUUUAAAAUUUAUUUUGUUGUAAUUUGGCUUCAAAUUUGUGGUUUGGAAGAACAGAGAAAUCGUGACACGAUUUCAUCAACGUGACACGAUUUUCAAACUUGCUGGGUACGUUUUCAGGAUGAGGUUGGUCGUACCUUGGGUCGUACGCACCAAUCGUGCCCCGAUUUGGAAAACGUGACACGAUUUUGACAGCUGAAGACUGCUAUAUAAGUGUUCUUGUGCAGAUUUUGAAGGAGAGCUUGAAGUGAGAGAAACUUGGAUUACAAAGGAGGUAACUUUAGGGUUGAGUGUCUUUGUAGUGAGGAUCUCUUAGGUUGGAAAACAUUGUAAACACCUUGGGUAGUAAGAUUUCACCAUUGGAAGGAUCGAAAGCUUCCUUUUGUGUCUUCUCUUAGGGUUCAUCAUUGAGAGAGUGGGUAACACAAACGGGUAGAAAUUAAGUAUUGUUCUUGUGUAAGCUUGCAAGCUAUUUUCUUGUAACUCUUUGUAACACUUUCAUUAUAGUGGAUUGGAGAGCUGCUCUCUCCCCCAGAUUAGGUCAUUUUUUACCGAACUGGGUCAACAAUCUUUUGGUGUGUUUGUUCCUUUCUUUCAUCGCUUAUCUUUGUGCUUUGUCUAUGCUUGUGGUGUUGCUCUACAGUAAGUCUAGGUCUAUUUUUGUUGUUGUUGAUUGGAGACACUUUACACAUUGAUUACCACUUCCUUUGCUCCACACAUCUUUGUUUUUCAUUGGUGUGAUUUUUACCGGAAUUCAAAACAUAUUUUCUUUUGCUACUUGAGGACAAGCAACAAUUUAAGUUUGAGGUUGUGAUUGUAGGUCAUCUUACGUUAUUUUUAGCAUAUUUUUCAGUCAUUUUUAGUUAGUUUUGAUCCAAAUUAUAGGAGUUUUAAAACAAUUGCCUGUGAUUUUUGGGACAUUUUGUGAUCUUUUUAUUUUGAGUCAUGUAAUUCUAGUUUUUACGAAACCAAACAGCUCUAGGUGUUUUUGAUAUAAUUCAAUGCAAAAUCUUGCAAAUGGACAAAAGAAACCAAGCAGCUCUAGGUGUUUUUGAUGUAAUUAUAAUUGUUUUUGAUACAAUUAUCUUUACUAUUAAGACAAGGAUCUCAAUAUAUGAUAUUUGUGUUAAAAGUCAUAUAUUUAACCUUUUUAAAGGCAAUUUCUUUUUUUGAAAAACAAAAUUUCAACUUUUGAAUUUCUUAGUGUGUACUCUUACAACACAAGUUAGUGCAACUCUUAAUAUAAUAUCAUGUGUGAUGACUAUAAUCUUAUUAUAUUUGUGAUGAUGAAUAUAAUAUGUAUAAUAAGAUUAUUGUUAUACAAAUAAAAAAGGUCUACGAGCUGUACCUAUCACCUAUAUGAAUUUUAAUUCGAAAGUCUCUAUAUUGAGGUAAGUUUGCUUGAAGGGUGAGCGGUGAACUCCAUAUUAGAGAUAUACGAUAAUAUAUUAAUCCAUUCGGUCAAACUAUAUAUUGAGGUAAGUCGUAUAUAAUUUAGGGUUAAAUAACUAAAUGAUGUCGCUAAAUAUAUCAAUAUUUAAUUUUAAUCCUCUUAAAAUAUUUUUAAAGUUUUUGGUCCCUCUAAAAUUUUUAAUGAAAUUAAUCCCUAUUUUCUAAUCAAUCUCUUAAAAUAUUUUUAAAGCUUUUGGUCCCUCUAAAUUUUUUAAUGAAAUUAAUCCCUACUUUCUAAUCAACUCAUGUCUAAAACAUAUUUUAUAGUGAAAUUUAUAUUUUAUUCGCUAUAAUCUUAACUAUUAUCAACUAACUUAUCAACUACUCCUUCCGUUUCUAUUUACAAGAGAGAGUUGAGUCAACGAAAGUUGAUGUAUCUGAUUCAAAUUUUAGUUCAGAUACAUCAACUUUUGUUGACUCAAUUUUCUCUUAUAAAUAAGAUCGGAGAGAGUAUUCCUUACAACAAGCUUCUUUAAUCCAAAUGAUGCAUUCCAUUUGGUCAAAAACAUUGAAACUUUCAAACACAUUAAAUUCAUUAUCCAUAUUUAGUAAACGUCAUGGCUUAGGGCAUAAGAAAAGCUACCUUACUCCAUCUGUUGGUAUAUAAAUAUUUGAUCCAAAAUCAAGCUUAAUAUUGAACCAGCGUUUAGUAAUACUAAUUGUUACUUCUUUCUUCCCGCUUUUAGAGGUACGUUCCUUUACCCUUGAUGAAUAACACCAUCAUCAUUAUAUUUAAGUAUAAACAUGAAUAUAUAUCCACUCUCAGUAUCCGAUAAAAGUUAACAUGAUUUAGUUUUGUUUCUUCACCAAUUUUGUAUAAUAUUAUUAUAAGUGUUUUGUAUAAUGGCAGUAGCAGAUUUCGCACAUAGUAAUAAAUGAUUAUAAAUUUAGAGAAGGGAUCUAAUUUCAGAUAGAAAACGUUUUCUCAUUGAUCCCCCACGUAGAAAACUUGACGCGUGCUCGUGAGUUUAUCUCAGUUGAAAGGAACAAUAAAAAUGCUAAUAUAUAUUCAAAGUGUGGAGUUCGAACCCUAGGCAUCAUAAAAAAAGUAUCAGUUUUUUUGUUUUGUUUUGAGGGAAGUAAAUGUAGGAGAUUAAAAAUUAAAAUAAAAAUACACUAUAUUAUAAUCUAUGUUACUUCCUUAAAAAAAAAAAUCUAUGUUACUUGACAUAAUUACUUUUUCAGGUAACUUAUAUAAUCGAUAAAAAGUGAAAAAAUUGUAAAUUGUAAACAUGUUCAGCCAUGGUUGGACUAUUUAAUGUAGAAAUUUGAGGUAUAAAUCAUCCUUACAAAACCGGCUUGUAAGGUGAGGAUUGUCUCCUCUUUAUAAGCGUGAAUCGGUAGGUGGCCCUUGAAUUCGACAAGCUCCGAUACCAUGUAGAAAUUUGGGGCCUAAAUCAUCCUUACAAAACCGGUUUGUAAGGUGAGGAUUGCCUCCUCUUUAUAAAUUCUUCUCAAGAGUCUUAUUUAUCCGAUAUGGGACAUGGAUUUUUCCCAAUAUUUAACCUUGAAAAGAUUUUUUUUUUUUUUUUAAGAACCUUAAACUAAUAUUUUUUUUUCUUCUUUUUUUUGAGAUAUUAAACUGAUAUCUUGAUUGGUUCAGUUAUCGGUUCUGUGUUCACUGUUAAGUUGAAGCAUUCAAAAUAGUAAAUAUAGAAUUUGAUUUAUAUACCCAUCAGUUAACAAAACUCUUACACAUAUUUCUUAAGAAAAAAAAGUCUUACACAUGUAUUCAAUAAAAAGUUGUCACAUCAAUUAAUUAGGUAUGAUAAGUCAUAUGUUUUUAACUCAUUAUUAAAUAUUGUGGCAACAUAUUAUUGAAUGUAUGUAUGAAACUUUUGUAAAUAUAAAUUAAACUCAAAUGCUUUUUGGUUUUAACCCAUCAAUUCUCAAGGUAAAAGAUCAUAAUAAUUCGGAGUUUGAGUAAAUAAGCAUGGUAAAAAAUUUCCUUAAAAAAAAAAAAGCAUGGUAAAAAAUUGUUCUACCAAAAAAUUGAAUUCUGAUUCUCGUGAAUAAUUCCUUAUUUAUGGAGCUCAUUAACUACUUAAACUCGAUUACUUUUUUUUUGAGGGACUUAAACUCAAUUACUUGAUUAUUAAACUCAUAAAUAUAAUACUCCUCCAAUUUUAUAUAUAAACAAAUACAUUAAUUAUUCAAUAAAUUUAAAAACUGAAUCAUUUUCUAUAAAUGAAACCGAAUAAAGCAUAGACUAUAGAUAAAGAAUAACUUGAUAAUAGUGCCGCACAAAACAAACAACAAAUUAUACCACCAGCUCUUUUUAAAAUGCAUAGGAUUAUAAUUAGGGACAUGGAGAAUAGUAAAUUUACUAAAUAAUUUCUAUUAAUUAUUGGGUGGUUUCUACUAUAAUAAAUGCAUAAAAACAUAUUAAUAAGAUGUGCAUAAUCUUCUUUUUUUUUUUUUUUUUUUAGGGAAAGUGAUGUAUAUAGUCUAUUUUCUUAGUGAGAUAGUUUAGUGAUCAAAUACUUAAAAUAAAAGAGCAUUGCUAUUUAUUUAGAGAGUUUUUAUCAAGAAAUUAUCAAGAAAAUGUCUCAGCCAAUUAAAUUUGUUAUUUGGCGGAAAUUAAGGGAGAUAAUGAAGUGUAAUUAAAGAAAGGUGUUAACAAAUACACUGUCUUGAAAUUAACCUAGUUUCAACUCCUACUACGCCUCUCUCAAAAUUAAAAAAAAACUCCUAUCACGCUUGCAUAUCAUAAGGUUUCUACCAAAUGAGUUAUGCUAAAAAAUGGAAUAAUAUACAUAGUCUUCAUUAAUAAUAUAUUGAUAACUAAAAACAACAUUUCCCUAAAAAAAAACAUUUGUUUUGAUACAACUUUUUUUUGCUGAAGUAACAUUGUUUGUGACUCGGAGGAACUGGUAGCUAGAUUCCUUUUCACCCAAAAAGGAAUGCAAUAUAUCUGGCUAAUUCCAGCAUGUUUCUAAAGUAGUGUAGUUGAUAUACCUUUCAUAUAUGGCUAGAUUUAUUUUACUUAGAAGGUUGAUUGAGUUACACCCUCUACGAUUGAUUUUAUGGUGUGGCCGAUUGAAAAUCAAUAGAUUAAGAGAGAACUUUUACAUUAAGAAUGUUAAAGAGUCCUUUGUUGGAUGAAGUAAACUCUGGCACAUGAGUUUACAAGUGUGUGCAAUCCUCAUUUUACUAACAGGUUUUAUAAAGACGAGUUUAGGCCCAACCAAAAUAUUUAAUAGACUAUUAUAUUUUUUUCAUCCUAAUUAUUUUUCGCAUGCCAUAAUUUUUUACCAAAAUACUCUUUGUUCGAAUUAUGAAAGCCAAACGGUAUUUUGGCUUAUGAAAUCCGAACCGUGUAAAAACUGACGGCAAGCAUAAGACUAUGUCGAUGCUUGAUCAGAGUUUCUAAAAAUAAUGUUCGGAAUAUAGAACCAAAACUUUUACACCAUAUUAGAAUUAUAGUUCGAAGUGAUAGUUUUGGCCAAUUGAAGAUGAGAAAAACACAAUAAGGGGGGGUUGAAUUGUGUUUUCUUUUUCUCUAAGAUAAAAUCUUCUUCUGAAGUCACUUCAGAAGCUGUUGAAGAACGCUUCUGAUGUGCAGUUCAUAGUCAGAUGCACAAUGGAAUAAAACAGAGUAAGAGAAAAGAAAGAAGGACACAUGCAAUUAUACUGGUUCCUUCCACAAACCGGAAGUAGUCCAGUCCCCCUUGCACUUCCAAGGAGAGUUUCACUAAGUUUAAUCACAAUUGAUUACAACUGCUCAAUGUAACACCCCGUUACCCAAAAGUAAUUAAAUAAUAAUUAAUUCAACAUUAGAGUAAAACCCAACGGGCAUGUCACACUACAUUUUCAAAUUUUUCUUAAAUAGAAUAUAAAACUAUUUAAUAAACAUCCAAUGAAAUCAUCAUUUAAUUAGCAGCGGAAUAUUAUCAUCAAAACAUCAACAACUGUUUAAACCUCCAAAAUAAUAUCUUGGCAUAAAGCCUUAAGAACAUAAUUCAACCAACAUAGGGCCACAACAUCAAGUUCCAAAAUAAGAUACAUAGGAAAGAAAAACAAUAAUAAUUCUCAUCCCACAUAUCAGAGCCCUAGACACGACACUUGAGCCACCACCAACUACUCAGGAUCACCUGCAAGUUACCCAUAGGAAGGGCAACAUUUUCAAGCAGAAGGGGUGAGAUUCACAACAAUAAGAUAUAGAUAUUAAAAUUCGUCAAUUGAAUCUAACACCCUACAUAUAAUCAGUUCAUCAUCUUAUAUGCAUAUGUAUAUAUACUUCAUAAAACAACAUCAUCAUCAUCAAAUCAAAUCAUCAUCAUAUAGGUAUAAAUAUAUACUUCAUCAAACAACAUCAUCAUCGUCAAUACUUCAUAAAACAACAUCAUCAUCAUCAAAUCAAAUCAUCAUCAUAUAUGUAUAAAUAUAUACUUCAUCUAACAACAUCAUCAUCGUCAAUAUGGCAACUACAACCAACAACACCGACUCAUGCAAAUGACAUGACAACACCGCUAAGACAACACCCUAGACUCCUCAAUAAAUGCAAAUAUGCAUGUGGUACCAUAAUCAGGGCCGUGACCCACACCGCUGUCGAAUGGUUAAAGCAUUCUCAUCAGGACCUAAGUCCUCACCGCUCAACACCGCUUUUGAACAACUAGUGUUCCACCACUUUGAACGACAAGGCGUUCCAGAGCCGAAGCUCUCCCACUUUGAUGUUAUGCAACUACCCAACCUGUGUAUAUCUACAUACAACUCAACAAAUGCAUAUAUAUAUGUAUAUGACUCAACUCUCCAUAACUCCACACUUGUAUGAUUUAAUGAAUGUAAACAUACAACACAGUCAUCAAUAGUUCAUCAUUAAUCAAUCCAACAAUCCAGAAAAAUGCACAAUUUAUCUUAAUCAUGCUCAUACAUCAAGCUCCAUUCAAAACGUUCAAACAGGAUUCAACAACUCAAGGAUAUUAGUAAUCAACAACAUCAAUUAUAUUAGCUUAGAUACAUUGAGAGGCUAUACCCUUAUAGACAACUUCCAUCCCUACCCCAAGGACCACUCAUGAACUCAUUAGACCCUUAUACAACGUUAUAUCUUUCCUAAAAACAUCUCUAUACGUUUAGGAUAAAGUCCCUACACUUAGGAAGAAGUUUGGAAGCAUUUGGAGUGAAGAAAAUUGCAUUUUAGGGUUUAUGGUAAGACAACAUCAGUCAUACUAAAAUUACACAUUUUCUGUCAAAAUCGCCUCAUGAUCACCAGAAUCGCCUCAUGAUUUCGACAGUAUCAGACAUACUAAAAUUACAGAUUUUUCUGUCAAAAUCGCCUCAUGAUUUCUAGAAUCGCCUCAUGAUUUCGACAGUAUCAGACAUGCUGAAAUCACAGAUUUUCUGCGAUUUUCUACCAUGGGAGCCUCCUUGGCUUCAAUUCUCAACCCUAAACUCUCCAAAAUCAUCCAUAAACAUCACCGUAUGAUUACCCUAUCAUUAAAACGUUAACCCAUCACUAACCUACCUGAUUAACAACUCUUUUCACCAUUCAAUUCUAUGGUUUCUACACUUUUUCAUUCAAAAACCAAUAAUCAAAACCUAAUCCCAAAUUUCUCAAUUUCUACCAGAAACAUGUUAAAUCAAAAUCAGAAUUACAAUCUAUACUAUUGAAAGUAAAUCUCACCCUUACCUUAGUUCAGAAAAUCGCACGACACACGGUUGAUCUUGGUUCUACUUGUUCUUCUCUCCCCUUGUUCUUGGUUUUCUCUCCCAAAACUUGUUUCACGUAAAACUGCUUCUGACCUUUUCUUUUCCUAACUCCCAAACUAUAACUCCCCUUUUAUUUCAUUAAACUCCCCUUAAUUCUAUUAAAUCCUAAUUAACUCCCUAAUUUCUAAAAUAAUAAUAAUUCCCACUAAUUUUAAUUAUUAUUUUAUUAAACCAUAUAUUAAAAUGCACACACCACAUAAAUCACCAAAAAUCAUAUAAAAUCAUAUAUGAGACUCCAAAUAAUUCAAAAUAAAAUAAAUAACAACUAGGGCGUUACACUCAAUACUACACCUAGUAUGAGACUUCAAAUUGCUCAAGCACACAAGCAAGAGACUUUCUAUGCUCAAGCACUAAAGCAAGAGACUUCUAUUCAAACAGAAUUACACAGAAAAUUGUUUGAGUUUGAACACUUGAUAUACAAUCAGUGGUGUUCACAAUACAAUGCAAAUGAAAGACUAUAAGAAUUUCUAAGAUAUAUCAAAUGAACACAGAAAUUUUAAGUGCUUUUUGUAAAACAAAUUUGGCAGAGUUUGGGAGCUUUUUACUUGUUGUCUCUCCUCUUUGAUCUUCAAGUCUUCAUUCCUUUAUAUAGUGAUGUGAAAGAGUCGUUGAGAUCUUUAAGCACGUCAAUAGAGUCGUUGUGAAACCUUGAUCAAUCACCAAUGAUCUUUUGCCUGAUUUGGAUGUUGUCCUAUAAAGAAUCAUGUUCAAAUCCAUUCCUAACUUGAAGGAACAUUUCUACAGGCAGAGCUGUUUUUCUUGUCUUGUAGCGUAGACAAAAGCAAAGUAGUGGAGGUAGUGGUCGUACAUUUCUUACUUUGUCAACUCUCUUUGAAGUACAAGCAUCCAAUGCUUUUCAAAUGAAUCGUUGCCACUUUUCCUUUAGUCUUUCGCUUUCUUUGAAGAGGUUGAAUCCAAUAAAUAGCUAUUUGAAACUUUAGGUUGCAUCUUCUGAUGAACUGUAGCUUCUGGUGAUACACAGCUUCUGAUGAACUUUGCUUCUGAUGAUGUCAUCACUUCAGAGGCACUUUGUCUUCAGGAGCACUUCAUAACUUCAGACGCAUUUUUCUUCAGAUGCUUUAGGCUUCUCUUUUUGUUGAUAUUCUUGCUCUUUAUUUGUUCUUUCAGGAUCAAUUUAUGAUAUCAAAUUUUGUCUAGUCCUGUAUACUUUGAACAAAUAUUAGCGUAUCCAAUUGACAAUUUUUCAAUACUUUGUUAUCUUCAAAACUUUUAAGGGUUAUUAUUGCUAAACACAUUUUGUUCCAACAAAAUAAUCCCUACACCUCCCAAAAAACACACCAUUUUGGACGAAAACAUGAUUUGGAGUAGCAAUCUGGUCAUCAAGGGGCGUCAACAACAUCACUCUGUACAAUCAACAAAGUGAUCAACUUCACUCUAUGAGCAUGUUGACUCUCUGGAUCCAGAUAUACAGGCUUUCACAGACCAAGUAAACAUGGUCAACUAGGAAAAGUGCACAUAAAAUUAAUGUCUCCUAAUCCUCCUAAGCCACGUCUAAUUAAAGUCAAUUUCCCACACUAAGGCUAAAUCUUGUUGUUCAUGCAUGAAUUUAUUGAAAAAAUGGUGGAUGUAGCUGGUGAUGGCCAUUGUAGAUUUCGUGCAGUUGUGGGCCUACGUAACAUGUAUGUUGAUGAUUAUCAGAUUAUCUAUUAUCAACUUCUAAAAGAGCUUAACGGUGAAGAUAGUGAGCAUUAUCGGUGAUUGAUUUGGUCGGAUAAACAAUUCAACGAGGUCUUGCAUGCUCUGACCGGUGAUGGUAUUGGUCGUGCUACAUCAGAUAAAUGGAUGAUCAUGCCGGAUAUGAGAUUCCUCAUUGCACAGAGAUACAAACAUGUAGUGGUUCUAAUGUCCAUCGAUAAACGACAAUCAAAAAUCUUUUUCCCUCUACGCGGUGCAUCUUCCCAUAGAGACCGAAUGAUGUGUCUAGCACAUGUGAAUGACAAAACCAUUUUAUGAUGAUAUAUUUGAUGGAUGGUUGUCCAUUUCCUCCCACUUCCGUGCUAUGGAGACAACACCGUAGCAAAAAUGCAAAGUCAUGAGAUGAAAGAUAUAUUGGUAGGAUGAUUGUCUUUAAUGAACUAAGUCAGGUGACGGGUUACAAGAUAAUAUAAGAUGAUGGUUUGUACUUUGUUAAAAACCUUGACCCUUAAGAGAAGGUUGCUGCUCGUAACAAGAUCAGAGUUGGAAUCAAGAUUUAAGAAGAUGAAAGUCUUGGACUUUAUGAUUGUAGUAUAGACCUUGAAGCGGAUUAGUUGAAAUGUAUAUCAUUAACAACUACAUAAUGAUAUUUUGAUAUAAUUAUAAGCUCGUUGUCUUUUAUAUUAUUUAUACAAUGAAAAUUUGUUGAAUCCACAGAGACAUGAAAUUAGUGCAAGCAGUUUGUUGAAAUCUGAUACAUUUCGGAUUAUAGAACCCAAAAAAUUCGAAUAAUCGUUCGUAUUACAAAAUCCGAACAAAGGAUAUUUGCGAAGAAAAAAAAAUAGUAAGCGCGAAAAACUCAUAGGGUAGAAAAGUAAUAGUUUUUUUAAUAUGUUAUUAAAGUAUAUCCAAGAUUCAUUACACAAUAUACUAUCAAUAUUCUGCUAUCGGGCCACUCGAGUCAUGCCUGUGAUUAAACCCAACCCAAAAUUUAGUUAAGAAGGAGAAAUCUGUAGUUCUUUAUCAAAGAGACUUUGGUCGGGCGCACUACAAAGGUAGAUGCAGAGAAUCCAUUUUGAUGGUGUAUUUCGAGUGGGAAAAAAACAAUAAUUACAUGUUAUAGUUUAAUAGUACUUCUUUGUUGAAUUCUAAUUUUAAAGUGAAUUGAUCACUUUCAAUAUUUACUAUGAAGAAGUCAAGUCUAUAUUUGUUUAUGUUUUACUUUGUAGUUAAGUAAAUUUCAUAUUUGUCAUUGUUAACUAUGCCUUCUUUAAAUUAAAACCUAUAUCUAUGUACUUGCUUAUAAUUUUUUGUUGCUAUAACAGAUCAACAUGAUGUUUGUAUCUCAGCAAUGGAUGCUCUCACUUGAAAUACUAGCACUAGUGUUCUUGUUAGGCACAACAUUCUCAUUAGCUGCUACUAGGAAGACUAAUAAAAAUAUUAUAACAAAUAUUUUUAUGUCUCCCAAGAUUGAACUAAAUCCAGGAUUUGUUUCAAAUAAAGUGUAUUAUGAUGUUGAGUUUCCAAGAGGUCAUAUUUCACUCAAGAGUUUCAAUGCUGAGCUAGUUGAUGAUGCAGGGAAUUCUAUACCUCUUUAUCAAACUUAUCUACACCAUUGGAUUGUUAUAAGAUACCACCAACCUAAAAAUGUGACACCAAAUAGCCAAUCAGGUAUUAUUUUCCAAAGAAAUAAUGGCUUUUGCCAAGAGGAUAUUUUAGGACAAUACUAUGGUCUUGGAUCAGAAACAAGAAGCACAAAUACAUAUAUUCCAGACCCUUAUGGUAUAGAAGUUGGUAAUCCUGCUGAAAUUCCAAAAGGGUAUGUGGAGAAAUGGUUGAUCAAUGUUCAUGCAAUUGAUACGAGGGGUGUGGAUGACCGGGUGGGAUGUAUUGAGUGCUCAUGUGACCUAUACAAUGUCACAAAAGAUGAAAAUGGUAAUGCUUUGAGUCCAAAUUAUAAAGGGGGUUUGCAAUGUUGCCCUGAUAAUAGUAAGUGCAAGAUGAGGAAAGGAUUUUUGGGCCCAAAGAAAAGCAUCUAUUUGAAAUACACUGUUAUGUGGAUCAAUUGGGAUGUUAACUUUAUGGUGCCGGUCAAGGUUUAUAUAUUUGAUGUGACUGAUACUUUGAAGCUAUCAGAUAAGUCUAAAGGAAUUAGUAUAAAGCAUGAUUGCAAGGUGAGUGUAACCUCAAAAUAUUAUUAUUAUAGGUAUGAGUAAAAUUGUUUUACAUUAUUUAGGGACAGUUAUUGAAUUCCUACUUAAUGAUCUCAAAUUAUAUAUAUAUAAUAAUAAUUGAAGUGAGAGUACGUAAUAGAGAUUAUUCUUUAUAUACAGGUAGAAUAUGAAGUUGAACCUUGCAGCAAAAGUAAUGUGAAUGGUAGAGGUUGUGUUGAUGUGAAGAGAGCAAGCUUCCCGAUGAAAAGUGGCGGUUAUGUCAUCUAUGGAGUUGGUCAUCUACACACAGGUGCAAUUGGAUCAACUCUAUAUGGACAGGUGACAUUAAAUAAUUGCAAUUAAUAUUUUUUUUUUUGAAGAAGUUAAACUAGCCCACCUAAAUUGGCAUCAGAGAGAAUCGAACCUGAAACCUCGAGGAGGAGCACCCUCCCAUGUCCCAAGCCAAUACCACUAGGCCAACCCAAGUCGGUUUAAUUGCAAUUAAUAUUAACAUUUUGAUACUACUUUCUACUUCUACUAAAGUUCAUAGUGCAUAUACAUGGAAAUUUGUAUAAUUUACUCCCUUAAAAUUCCAAAGGAUUUAUAAAUUUUCACUUUUUUCAUAAACAUCUUGUUAUUUUGUUUAAAAGUGCUUAGCUUUUAUAAUUAGACUAUUUAUAUGUUGCUAUUGCUUAGUUUGAUAUAUUAUAUUUUAACUCAUCAUUUUUGUUGUGUCAAUGUUAGGAUGGGAAGGUUAUAUGUAAUUCAAAUCCAAAAUAUGGAAAUGGAAAGGAAGCAGGAAAUGAAAAAGGGUAUGUUGUAGGAAUGACCACUUGUUAUCCUCAACCAGGUUCUAUCAAGAUACUUAAUGGUGAAACUUUAAUUCUAGAGGUGAACUAUAACAACAGCAGAAGACACUCUGGAGUAAUGGGGCUUUUUUAUUUCUUGGUGGCAGAAAAGCUACCACACCAACAUGUCUAACAUUCCUAUCAUUUUUUAUUUGAUAAAUUCUAUGUGGGUCAUUUGAUAUUGUAGUCCACCGUAGACUAGCACUUGAAAACUAUUUGAAAUUUCAAUGAUAAUUUAUGGUAUUGUCGGAAGUAGAAGUUUACGAUCUUUCUCAUCUUAACGAGUGAGAUGGUGACCCAAUUGAUCCUGUUUAAAAA